rnacentral:lncRNA from 1 species
UGGCCUCCUCGUAGGUGCUCUUGUGCCACCAGUCGUUGAGCAGCACGUCGUGCUCGCCGUCGUACGUGAACGGCUCGCCGUCCGGCCCGCCGCGCGCUGAGUUCACGACGAUCAUGCCAUUGAGCCCCGCCGAGCGCUGCAUCCCGUAGUGCGCGUGGUACAUGUAGGUGCCCGGGCGGUCGACGACGAAGGUGUAGUUGAAGGUGUCCCCGGGGAGGAUCGGGCACUGCGUCACCCCCUCCGUGCCGUCCGCCCACGGCGUGCCGAUCUGCCGGAUGCCAUGCCAGUGGAUGGCAACGUUCUCCGUCAGCAGCGAGUUCCUGACAGUGACCACGACGGUGUCGCCCUGCGUUGCGCGGAUGGUCGGCCCGGGCGUCUGCCCGUUGAUGGUCACCGCGAGCUUGCGCACGCAGUCGGGGCUCUUGAACUGGUAGCUGAUCUCCCACUCCUGGUGAACAGUGGCGGCGGCGCGCGCGGCCGCUGCCAGCGACAGGGACAGGAAGAGGCAGCAGAGGAGCCGGGGUUGCCAGCCCAUGGCCGGAACGACUCAGCAGAGCAGCCGCUCGGCGCUCUUCCUUUAGCUAAGCAGAAGCAAGUACGUAGCUGCUGUGUGUCGAGGUGCUCCCAUGCUGUUGUGCCUGUGGUUGCAUAUUUAUACACACAGUACGUAGUAGCGAGCUGAGAACCUGAGAGCAAUAUCAUAUUGCAUUGCGCCAAAUAUAUCAAGUGAUGUACGUGUUCCGACCAAUGCAAAUGGCAUUGUUCCUUUGACUUGCAAUGGUAUAGGAAUCAGAAUCACACAAUUUGUACUAUUAUAUUUUCAUUCAAACAACACGCAUGUGGAUAUAAGAUCAUAUCAGGGACAAAUCAAAAUUGUAGCAGGUGUUUUAUAUUGAAACAUUCAAGUUUAAAUUGAAACCGACUCGAACGUUAGCAUCCGUGGCGCACGAACCGAGCUGGGCAUGCAGAGCUAGUCUCAGAGAGAGUUCGUCACCUUUUAUUCAAAGUGAUUUUUUUCUCAAACACACAAAAGAUUUACACAUCAUUGUAAAUAAGAAGAAGAUUGCAACGAUACAAUAGGAGGUCCUAGCAUACGAAUUCAGGUUUCGAUAUUUCCUCAAAAAAAAUUCAGGUUUCGAUAUCGCAGAAAUGGUAUACAAACUGAAGUAUGCACAGCGAUGCAACCUAAAAGGUGGUCUUAAAUCUCCACUGCUGCCUGCGUGACCCGUUCUCGACAUCAUUGAAUAGCGCGUCUUUCAAAAAGGAUUGAGCAGAGCAUUGUCUACUCUUGUUUGAACCAAGCCAAACUUCUCAAAAUAGACAAUUUAGACAACGAACAAUGAUUUCUUUAGAAAAUUCGCAGGUCAGAACAACCAUAAGACAAAGGCAGUUCUUAUUACAUUACAGCUACUGCACAUAAUACUUGCCGCCUGGUUUCCGAUAUGACGUCGAAUGUUAUCAGUUACAACGAUACAACUCUCUCCAUAGCUAGAUUAAGCCAAUGUAUGCACAGAGCGAGAUCUUGUAAAUAGGUUGUUCAACGAUGGUACCUGCAUGCUUCGCAAGAAUCUGAUCCCUCUUUUUUCGAUCUUAACAGGCUCUCAUGUCCAUGGAUUUAUAACCAUAGAUAGCUAGCAAUAGCAUGCAAUGGUGUAAAUUAGGGGACCUAAAGGUUUCCAACCGUAUUUUAAUUUGCCUAAAUCACCCAUCAACUCAUGCUAAGAAAAGAUAAGCAUAGGUUUUUUUUGAUAAAUUUGAUACAUACCACUAAUCAUAAUUUCUCUAUUAAUUUCUUAACACAAUACCUAUUUAUAUACAUGAUCUGGACUAUCAAGCUCUGAUAAAUUUACCAAUUACUUUACGUGUGUUUUUAUCUUUGCAUUUAAUGCUUGUUGCACUUUUAUAUAUAUGAUAUCUAGUUCAAACCUUAUGCCAGUUUGGAUCCCUUGGACUCGCAACCAUUUUUCAACGAACCUUGGACUAACAACUAGUUGGCUAAACUUUAGUCUUUGAGGGUCCAAACAAGGGCUUGUUUAAAUCCCAUGAACUAAUGUAACAUCUGAUUUUAAGAAUAAAAUCAGAUAUGCACCAUAUGUAAGUUUUAGAAGACAAACCUCAUAUAUAGUUACAAGUAAGGAGUAAUAUCAAAGGACAACGCAUAAAUUAUAUAGCGUACAUAAUAAAUCAGAAACAACCUUAGGCAGCAAAUCACGGAAGAUAAUUCUAAAUUUCGGGUGUCAACUUCACUCUACAGGAUCCAACUGACUGGUUGAUCACACGCCCAAUACUUCUCCUGAGGUGUGGGGGAGAUAGCAAAACUGAGUCGAAGACGAACUCCGCAAGUAUAGCAACUAGAUAGUAUAGAUCCCACGGUCUCAUGAUCAAUGUGACAUAAAUAAUGUAGAGCAUUAAACAAUAAACAAUGAGUAUCUUAACAUAACAAGAUUCAUCACCCUUAAUGUAAGAAUCCCCAAGGCCGUUCGUGACCGUGAGCACGGCUAGUAUACCAGUUUUUAACACUCUGUAGAGGUUGUAUAUCUUUACCCAUGAGUCAUGAUUUACCCUUUUGCCAGAGGUGAUCAGCCUCUUAACCCUCUACCAAGGAAGGUCGGCAGGGAUCACUAUGAAGUCUUUCAAAGGUUCGUCUAACCAGUUUGGGCCGCUUGGUUUCGGUAGUCAGUUCGUGUGAUUCUACCCCGCAGGGAAUCCACGGUCUGCUAUCCCACAUUUGCGCCACGCGGGUAACCUCUAACCAGCUAGAAAAAUUACUCAUACUUGACUAAAGCCAGAGCCAUCAUAGCCCUCAUGGUUGCACUUUCAUCUCGGUUAUCACUUACGAAUAAAUCCUCAAGUUGCUAAAAAGUCAUUAUUAUCAUUUGUUGCUUUAUAUUAAUCUAGUCACAAGAUAAUGAUCAUAGAAUUAAAACCCAAAUGCUAUACUUGCCUUGAUCCAAAUGCUCCUGCUGGUCCUACUGGCCUUACUUGCUUCCAAGGCUCUGAACUUGAUCACCAAAGUAACGCCCAGCGUCUAAUCUCGAUCAUCGAUCAUCAACACACAAUCAAUCAGAGACAGACAUAUACGAAGCAAACCAGAUUACAAUUAGAAUAGUACACCAGCAGUAAAUAAAUUUGAAUAAAAGUUUUCCAAAAUCAUCUACACGCUGCUACGAUCACAUCAACGCAAAAUUCACGCAAAAAGGAGUUACGACACGAAAUCUACGCAUUAAACGGGUCUGCAAAGGCUAUCUACGGACUUGUAUUUAUCUAGGAAACCUAACAGUGGUGAACCUAGACAACAAUGGUACCAACACAAAGCUUAUGAAAUUAUGAAACUAACGCAACUUGAACGGAUUGAAUCAGAGCUAAAACGGAGAAGAUAUGAAUUUUCUAAGAUUUUCUUUAGAAAAGUAAUUAAUUAAAUAGGGUCACGAAAUAAAAAGGUUUCAAAUUGUUAAACCAAGUUUACUAACGUAAAGUUCAUAUGACGCACUUUGAAUGGGUCAAAUCGGAGUUAAAAUGAAGUUUUUAUGGCUAAAAAACUCAGUGGUAAAACUGUAAUUAGUGAAAACGUAUUUUUGAAAUCAAUAGAGUCGGUUUACGUUUUCGAAAACAGGAAACAUAUUUUAAAACUACGCAAAGGACUGCUGGUUCGAAUUCGAUAAAACGGAGAGUCUCUUUAGAAAAUUUGCUAGGCCGAAGGGGUAUGGGCCGUUCCUGGCCAUCAGAUUCAAGAUCGACGGGCGAGAUUAGAUGGGAGGGGAGAGAGAGGGGACUGGCGGCCGGAGUUGGGAAAGGUUGCGGCGGCAGCCAUUGCCGGCGGCAUUGAGGUCGCCGGAGUUGUUCGCGCGGGCUCUCCCGGGCAUGAUUUUCCAAAGCGAAAGCACUGGGAGAGAGAGGAGGUCACGGUGAAUCCACCCCGGGGUAAAACGCGGCCGGGGAAGGCGAUCUCCACGGCGGUUCGCGAUGGUGCCAUGGCCGGCCCGUCGGAGUUCAUGAGAAAUGGAUUUAUGAAGCACCGUUCGAUGCGGGAGAGGGAUGGGGAGAAAGAGGAGAAGGAGGCGAGCUCACCGCGGUACUCAAUGGCAGUGCCAAGGCAACGGAGCGACGUAAACGGGGUUCACCGGAUCUUGAGCUCCGGUGGCGGUUCUCCGAGAGCUUUGAGCGAGAGCAAAGUCAGGGAGGAGGCGAAAUUGGGAGCAGAGGGGAACAACAUUGGCUUGGGCGCAUCCAAAAUGAGCGAAGCACAGGGGAGAGAGUGGGGAGUGGGGAGCGGGGGAGAUCGGCGUCGGUUGCGGCCUUCUGCGCGUGAGAGAAAGAGGCGGUUGGGGAGAGGAGGGAGAUGACAGGCGGGCCUGGCCUGUCAGCGGGUGAAGGGUGAGGGGGGGAAAGAAGGGGGGUCAGCUGGAUGGGCCUCAGCCCACGAGGAGGGAGGAGUGGCGCACGGCCUGGGAAAAAGAUGGGCCAGGCCUGGCCGAAUUCGAGGUAGAGUGGAUCUUCUUUUUUAGUUUUCAAACCCAUUUUUAAAUACAUUUGCAAAUUGUAUUUUAAAUCAAAUCUUUUUUGUAUAUUCACACCACAUAAAUAGAAUGCUGCUCCAUGUAUGCAUCAAAAUAUGUUUCUAACCUUAUAUUAAAUUUUAACUUCCCAAAAAUUUUCCUAUAUUUUAAUGCUCACAAAAAUUGACUCAAUAAAUCAAAUUCAACUAUUUUAAAAACAAGCAUAUUUUAGAGUGUUACAACUUACAACUAGUUAGCUAAAGUUUAGCCCAUAAGGAUCCAAACAGGUGGACUAGUGGAUGAGCUAACAACUAGUCCAAGUCCCAAUUAGUUGUUCGUUCACUAUGCCAUCUAACCCAACUAUCGGUGGCUAAACCUUCUAGCGAUUGGCAAAGAGACAUGGUGUACUGUCAGUAACCGCAUCCACUGCACUUUGUUCCCAUCCCCUCCGCCACGCCCACAUCUCUCGAGUCGAGAGGGAGAGGAGAAAGAGGAUGGCAGUGAGGUCGUGCUUCUACUCCAUCGCAGCCACACCCAAGCGCUCAUGGUCUACCACCUUGAUGACAAUGAGGAAGAAGAGUAUGGCGGCGAAGCCAAGGCUACGUCGAGAUGGCGUUGUUGCGCACGUGCAUAGCGCAUUUCAGGAUGGUGGCAUGUGCGGGCACCGGUGGCCUUAUCCACGUGGAGGUCUGUUGAUGACGCCGCACUACAUGGUGCUCAAGGCGGUGUCUGGCGGUGAGAACGAGACAAAGAUGGAAGUAUGGAGCGUCGACGUGGGUAGCAUGUGAUCCCUCGUGGUGUAAACAUUGUGUGGAGCAUGGCACGAUGAGCUCGGCAUCUGUCGGGGCAGGUUUAGAUCUGCACCCACAUCGACUGCGAUGACCAGGACACAGAGCAGGUGGAGGCGGCUGUUGACGGUCCUUAAGUACCAAAUUUAAUUAUCAAAUAAACAAAGAAAAGGAUCCAAAUGCAACCAACACCCAAACUUAAGGGUUUUAUCUGACAGAAUUCCACGAGUUUUGGUGUAGGGGGUUAUCAGGAAAUAUGGAGGAAAGGCCCACACGUCGGGUUUACAUAGAGACAUUAACGUGUGCGGCAAUUUUCUAUCAUCAAGAAGACUCUAGAAGCCACGGGAACGAGCGGGAGGACGAGCGGGCCCGGGGACUGGGCGCCCGCCCAGGUAUCUCGGCCAAUCAGGCCUCGCCUCGCGGAUCAUGCUCCACCGACCUAAAGGAUUAAGGAAAACCGUGCGAUUAAGUUCGGUUUGAUCCGACGGCCCAUGUUCAUUUGGAAGGGCUAUAUAAGCAGGCCCCCUGGCCCCUGGAGGAGAUAUAUCUUCUACAGAAUCAAAGCUAGGGUUUCAAUUAUUCAUCCAAGUAGAGAGGAUCCCUCUAGUUCAUCUAGUUCUAGUUCUAGUUCAUCUAGUUCUAGUUCUAGUUCUAGUUAGUUCUAGUUGUAAUCUAGAAAAUAGGGGGAGAGAGAGAAGAGGGGAGCGGAGGAGGAGCCGGAUCUGUCGGAUCUUACUCAACAUUGUACUUUUGCAGCAACUGGUUCGUUCUUCAUCGUUCUCCAAGUUCUUCAAUUCAUAAUUCCUAAGUUCUUUAAUUACUUUUAUAUACAUUCAAGUUAUUUAUUGGAUUCCCUCUUGCAUUAAGUGCUCUAGUCUUUGCAACGCUAGAGUAGUAAUUAAUAGAUUAGACGUGGUGUUUAGUCUUGCAAUUAUCUAGAAUUGCACCCAAUCCUGCGGAUUGUUGUGGUAACCCUAGGGUAGUGACAGCCCUAACGGUCGACGUAUUCCACCUCGUUCGGAUCGGUGUUUUAGGGACCGUAGUCAGAGUUUCCUAGCCCCCUUCUCAUCUCUUUCUGUGGUUAGUGUUCUGAUGUCCCGAAAUAAAUAAUCUUUGAAGUAAUUCUUGAUUCUUAUAUCAACUAGAGAACUCUUAGGAAACUUUCUCUCUUCCCACCAAAAAUAAUUAUAUAGUUAUUCUUGGGCGAUCUUGAAUCUUAAUUAGUACACUCACGUUCCCUAUGGAAAAUCGAUACUCUGGAAUACUCCCGGGUGAAAGCUACAUCGGUAUCCAUGCGCUUGCGGAUUUUUUCUGUUUGCGUUUAAAAUACCCAACAACGGCGCGGGUCGAAGUGAGUAGGUUUGGGAAGAGCAUAUCGCCACCUGCGCCUCUACGUCUUUGGCCGCUAGUCGUCGCCUCCAACCAGCCAGCUACCGAGGCCCCAUGGCAUGCCCCCACCCAUUCUAUGCUCUGCCAUGGCUUGCCUCUACAAAGAGAGAGAAAGGGAAAUGCAGCACAGAGUUCUCAUGUGUGUGUGUGUGAGAGAGAAAUAGGAGUAUAAAAGUCUUUCUGUUGAGAUAGUUCAACUUAUUAGCUAGUGGAUCCAAAUAGGGUUAGACUAAUCACUAGCCCUAAUCCAUCCAAACGGACCCUAAGACUAACCGAUGGGCUAAAGUUUAGCUAAAGCUUCAACUAGUUAUAAGUUCACUAGUCCAUAUAACCCAACUCACAAGAGCUAACAACCAGUUCUAACUAUAGAACCUAACAAUUAGUUUAGGAUCCAAACAGUUAUGGACUAACAGUUAGUUGGCUAAUUUUUAGCCAUUAGUAAUAAUGAUUAGUCCUAGUCCGAUCCAUCCUAAUAGAGCCUUAGCUUAGCUUAAGUUAUAUCAAAUUGCAUAUCUUUUUCACAUCGUGAAUGUAUACUAUAAAAAGGAGUUAUUAGUAUCACUACUAUGUGGUUUGUUAAGGAAAUAUUUUGUCCUACCUUGAAUGAGGGGCAGUACGUAGAGUGUAACAUCCUAAAAUGUGUUCUCUGGGAAAUAGAGCUAAAAUAAAUUAAUUAUGAAUUUUUGUGCUCAUGAGAAUAGAGGAAAAUAAUAUUUUUCAUUAAAAUAAAAUUUAUCAUAGAGCUUAGCAACUUGUUUGUGCAUUCAUGCAGGAGAAUUAAUUUUAUUGUGCUGAGUGAUUUUACUAAAGUUCAAAAAUAUUUCAAAGUGAUUUUAAAAUGAAUUGAAAAAAAUGGCUUUGGAAUAAAAGAAAGGAAAAUGGAAAAGAAAAACAAAAAAAGGGAAGCCAGCGCUGCCGCAGCAGGUGGCCCAGCCAGCCCCCCCUCGGCCUGUUUCCCUUCCCCCCCGCCUCGGCCCAGGAGUCGGCCCAACCGCGCUGAUCCCCCUCCUCCCUUUUCCUCUCGCUGGCCGACAGUCGGGCCCCGCCUCUCUCUCUCUCUCUCUGACGCUCGGGCCCCGCACGUCAGCGGGCGCCUUCUCUUCCUCCUUGCGCCGAGAUCGAGCAGAACACGUUUCCACCUGAAUCAAUCCUAGGAUUCGCGAUUUCCUUACCGUUUUCGCGCAAACUGACCCCUACAAAUCCCCUAGGGCAACCCCGCGGCCUCCUCUUUGCUUUUGGGUCGCCAAAACCGAGUCCACGUGCCUUGCUUCGCGCGUUUUGGAUCUUGCCGAGAGCCACACCGAGCCGCCGCUACGACCCGACCUCCCAGUCCUCUCUCGGCCCCCAGGCCAAGGCUCUAGGUAAGUCCGCGGUGAGCUCCUCGUCCCUCUGGUGUUUUUCUUUUGGCUUUUGGUGCAUGGUUGCGAGAAGGCCGAGAACGCCGGCGAGGCCAUCCAUGGCGCCGCCGUGGGGAGCUCUGCUCCGGCUGGCCGCCGGCCACCCCUUUCCCCAGCGCGCCUGAGCCGUCCGUUUGCAGAUCAAAGGCGCAGAUUAGAUCAUACCCCUUCGGGGUAACUUUUAUUAAAGAGACCCUCAGUUUUCCUCUUUUUGAACCCACAGUCCAUUACGUAAUAUCCAAAAUACGCUUUCUCGGCUAAGAAAACGUGAUCGGCUGGCUGAGUUCAAAUGGUGCUUUCUGAAAAUUACAGUUUUGCCAUUGGGAGUAUUUUGGUCUAAAAUAUUCAUUUUAACUCCGUUUUAUCCCAUUCAAGUUGUUUAGAUUCGUAAUCAUGAGCUCUACAUGUUAGUAACUUUAUUUUCCCAGUUUGAAACUUUUUAAUUUCGUGAUACUAUUUAAUUAAUUACUUUUCUAUAUAAAAUCCUAGAAAAUUCAUAACUCUUCCGUUUUAGCUCCGAUUUUCGUGAACUUUACAUUUGUGUGAUCGUAGCGCUGCGUAGAAUAUUUUGAUAAACUUUUAUAUUUGUUUUACCACUGUUUGGUGUAAUGUUCUAAUUAUAGUUUAAUUGCUUUGUGUAUGAUUGUCUACAAUGGAUUGCGUGUUGUUGAUUGAUGAUCGAGUAUAGACGGUGAGCGAUACGUUGGUGAACAAGGUCAAGCUUUUGAUGACCAGCAGCAGGCUCAGGAGAGCUUUGAUCAAGGCAAGUAUAACUUGGGAUCAUCCUUGUUACCUAUACACAAUUACUACAAUAUAUAUCAUAUGCAUGUGUCCACCUUGAUGACCUUAGCAAAAUCAUAGAUGAUUGUUAUCUUGGAUUCCUUGUUACCUAUUUUGGAUAUGCAUUUGGUAGCUCUUGCUAGUGCUUGAAUAUAAUCUAUGAUCAUGUAACAUGAAUGUUUGGAUAUACAAUAAACAAUGAAAUAAGCUUUCUAGCAACUUGAACAUAAAGGGUGGAAAGAACUCUGGCUUUUGCUGGAUUGAUCUUGACCUCCAUAAGGACUUAUCCCUUGGCAAAAGCUGGGACAACUCGUACAACCAUGAGGGCUAUAUGGCUCUGGCUUUAGUCAAGUAUGGGUAAGCUUUUCUAGCUUGUUAGAGGUUACCCAAAAGGGCGGAGGGGCUGAACCGUUUUGGGUAUAGCGCGAGCCCCUGUCCCUAUGUAUAUAGGCUGCGCGUCAUUGUGCCAUUCGGAAGGGGGUAUCUAUAUCUGCGCGCAAAGGAAACCUUGCGGCGCUAACUUGUUAGACGAACCUUUGAAAGACUUCAUAGGGAACCCUGCCGGCUUUCCUUGGAAGUGAGCUAAGAGGUCGACGGGCCUCGGGCGAAAGGGUAAAUCAUGACUCAUGGGUAAAGAUGUAAAACCUCUACAGAGUGUUAAAUCUGGUAUACUAGCCGUGCCCACGGAUACGGGCAGCCCGAAAAACUGACGGAAUAGAUGGACACUGAUGAACAUGAUUAAUGAUGAGAAAUGGUUUAUUAUGUUGUUUAUAUGUGUUAUUCUUAAUUCUUGUAUACAUUGAUCAUGUGGUUAUGGGAUUUAAUUAUGCUACCUUGACAAUUGCUAUCUAAAUAUAAAUAUGCUAUCUACAUAUAAAAGCUAAAUGCAGUCAAACCAGUGUCAGCUAAUUGAGCCUCAUGAACCCCUGGUUAUACUUGUUGAGUACGAUAUGUGCUCACUCUUGCAAUUUCCCCUGGUUAUUCUUAAUUCUUGUAUACAUUGAUCAUGUGGUUUUGGUUAUACAAUAUAUAAGACAUCAAUCUUAAUGAAUCUGAUUUUUGUGACACAUAUUUAUACAAUGAGUAUAACAUACUUUGUUUUAAGAUUUUUUGAGGUUUUUAAGACGCGCAGUAUUGCCCAUAUGACAGGUGUUAGUAUUUACAUAUAUACUCUUUAUGUACAAGAUGGUAUGGAGUUCAUGGAUUUAUUGGCAUAUGAAAGAAACAAAUAUUGGAGCAGUAGAGUUUGUGAGCAUGUGACGUUGUUGUCGGUGUCUAGACUCGCGGUCUAGACACAAACAAGUGUAAAUAUGCGUGACUAUCUAAGCCUGGAUGGUGAUGCAAGUGAAACACAGAGAAUUUAUACUGGUUCGGGCUAAGCAUGCCCUACGUCCAGUGAGAUCGGGGGUCUGUAUUGCCUUGCACCCAAAGAUGGUUAUAGUAGGGGCGUACAAGCAGGUUGCAAGAGAGGGCUAAGUCCCAAGUCUCGGCUUUGUGAUGUGGACAGAGCGCUGGUUGCUACUCUGUGGGUGAACUAGCUCGUGUGUAUGCUGUGUGGUUGAGCUUGUUGGUCGUGAACCUGUCUUGGUCGUGAGCCCUGGCUCGCCUUUUAUAGCCUCAAGGGGAGGCAGGUAUUUACAUGAGGGUUUGGAUAUUUCCUCUACUGAGUGGAGGAGUAACAGUCCCGACCCUGUAGAAGCUUGCCCAUCCCGUCCUUGAGGUAUGGCUGACAAUAUGGUUGCUCCUGUGGGGGGUUGCCGAGCCCUGUUGGAGUCGUGGGGGGCGGAUCGGUGAUACUGCAGUCUGUCAUAUUAACAGUGGGAAAAGAUUGCAAAUAGUGAUGCUGAUUAACCUCUCCCAUUCCCCUUUCACUGUAAGGCGGUACACCACAGUAAAAGAGGUAAGGUCGCACAGUGAAAGAGGUAAGGCUGCAGUGACCAGAGUGGUUGGAACAGUCGCCACCAUGCCCUGCUACGAUAUGGGAGUCACUGCGCCUGUCACGUCGUGAGUACGGGCGCCGUGCGUUGGAAGCCUUGUUCUGACCGGAUUAAGCGGCGUUGGCGCCCGAGCCCUAUAGGGGUCGGGCGAGGCAGAACUUACGCCCGAGACCUAGGGGGGUCGGGCGAGGCGGUGUCUGCGUCCGAGCCCUAGAGGGAUCGGGCGAGACGGAACUCGCGCUCGAGGCCAAGGGGUCGGGUGAGCCAUGAUUUGGGCCCGAGACCGAGGAGUCAGAUGAGCUGGGGCCCGCGCCCUGGUGGUCGUGAAUGGUGUUGACGGUCCUUAAUGCUCACAUUUAACCGUCAAUUAAUGAUGGAAAAGGAUCUAAAUGGAACCAACACCUAGACUUAGGGUUUUAUCUAACAGAAUUCCACGAGUUUUGGUGUUUGUCUAUUUCUGUAGGGGGAUAUCAGGAAAUACGGAAGAAAGGCCCACACGUCGGGUUUACAUAGAGAUAUUAACGUGUCGCGCAAUUUUCUACCAUCUAGAAGACUCCAGAAGCCACGGGAACAAAUAGGAAGGCGAUCGGGCUCGGAGGCAGGGGUCGGCGCGUGACGGAAUCUGUGCCCAACAGGAACCGUCUUGCGAUUUUUGCUUGGGGUUAGUAGGGGGUCGGGUGAGACGGUAGUCUACGCCCGACGGAGACUACCCUGCGACCUUGGUUAGCAGGGGGUCGAGCGCCGCUUGCCCUGGAAGGGAGCGCCCUGACAUAUCUUUUCAGGGCGCUCCUUUUGAGGCGCGGCGCGUGGGGAGUCGAAACGGCCGUGCCGUUGUGCCCUGACCGGACGGGACGUUUCACCUACGAAAUUAAUGCGCGCGUGCAGUGGGCGUGAGAAUCGGAGGGAGUGGGCGCUUCGAAUUUUUCACCUAGUGGGAAGCGAGCGACGGUUGCUCUUUUUUCCCCUUGGUCUUUUGCGCUGGCGGUGUGGCCGUGGUGCGCUCCCUCUAUAAAAGCGGCCGCAGGGGAUUUGGUUUCUUUCCUCCUGCUCCUGCGCAAAAAAAGCUCUUGUCUCCUGCCCCUUCUCUUGCUGCCGUCUUCUCCAUCUCCGCCGCGCAAACGCCCCACUUCACCUAAAGCUAUGGCCGGCGAUGAUGUGUGGCCGCCCAGCAAUGUUACUAGGUCCACGCUGGAGGCGCGCGCGAAGGCAGGGAUCCUCCGCCCCAUCACGGAUGCUAGGCGGCCAGAGUGGAUCGUUCCCUCGGUGAACGACAGGGAGCCGAACCCGCCUCAGGGCUAUGUGGUCUGCUUCCUGUCGUUCUUAGACCGGGGGUUCGGGACUCCGGCCAGCCGCUUGAUGCGGGCGAUCCUGCACUACUACGAGGUGGAGCUGCACAACCUCAACCCCAACUCGGUGAUGCAGGCAGCCGUAUGCGCCAUGGUGUGCGAGGGGUUUCUGGGGGUUCCUCCCCACUGGAACCUCUGGCUUCACCUUUUUAAGGCGGAUAUGGCCGCCCGCUAUGUGGGAGGGGAGAAGUUCCCCCUGUGAGUUGGCGGUUGCACGCUGCAGCUCCGCCAGCAGCGAUCUAGCCAAUACAUCUGGAGCGUCAUGCCAUCGUCGAACCAGGGGUGGCAGAGUGGGUGGUUCUACAUCCGGAACGACGGCGGGCUGCUCCCGGAAUACACCGGGAAGAUGGUGAAAGAAUGCCCACAAAAGUGGGUGUGGGGUGCCCCUGCGGAGGAGCAGAAGAGGCUCGCCCCGCUUCUUGCGGGGCUCGAGAAGCUGCGCGACGCCUACCGCGGCCAUGGUGGCGACGGCGUUCCACAAGAGGAGCGUGCGCCCGCUGGCGCAGCGGCGGGCGUUCAUGUUCGAGAUGACCUGGGAUGUCCCCUGGGUCGGGACGAAGAUGCUGGCCGAGCCGGUGUCAGCGUCUCACAUAGCUGCCCGAGUCUCGAAGACCACGCUCCCGGAUCUAAAGAACUCCCGGGUGGUGGCGAUGCGCCCUGAAAAGGGCUAUUUCUCUGGUAAGAGGAUGUUUUUGUUUUGAUUUCUUGCGCUUGUUUCUAUUUUCUUCCCGCCUCAAUCCCUUUUUCUGCUCACCUUACUGGGGAUCGGGAUCGUCAGGGAUUCCCUGCCCCCUGUCCCAGAGGACAAGGAGAUCCGGGCCAAGAAUCGGGCCCAGAACGAGGAGCAGAAGAAGGCCAAGGAGGACAAGAAGUCGAAGGCUACGAGGAAGGCGCAGUGGCGAUAGAUCUCCGCCAAGAACCACCGCGAGACCGAGAAGGCAGGGGUCACCCCGCCCGACUCUCCUGAGACUUCGGUCUCGGAGAUUGAGGGCGGGGGAAGCAACGCGGACUGGCUCGAUGAGCUGGCGGAGGAGGACGACGUAAUCCCCCUGCCGGCGGGGGGAUUGAGAUCCUAGAGGGGUCGAAGGCCCGAGGGGGGUCAGAGGCCCCCGAGGGGUCCCAAGCACCGGGGGGCGGCCAGCCCGUCCCCCACAUUAUUGUAGACGAUGAGGACGGCGCCCCACAAGAGGGCUCAGUCCCCGUGGAUCCCCAAGAGGGGGAGAAGGCGUCAGGGUGUGGAUCCGAGGCGCCCCCACAACCGGUAGCGCGAGAGGGCCUAGCCGAGCCCCACCUAGCGUCCGGGGCAGAAGCCGGCGGCUCGGUGGAGGCAACGUAGGCCGAGACCACCGUUGAGGCCCCUGCACCAUCCGCGGGCGAGACAGGGGUCUGACCAAUGAGCGAGGUGCCCCCAAGGAGCUCCCAGCUCCUAGAAGAAAACUACCCCCCGAGCGAGGUGCGUGUAGGAUUUCUGAUCUUUCCGUUGAUUUUUUGAUUUUCUAUUUCUUCUGACUUGUGCUAUUUUUUCAGCCGGAUGCAAAAGUCGGCACCAGUGGCGCUGGCGCCCCUGAAGGCCGUAAAGAGGGGGGCGCACUCGACCCCUGGGUCGGCGAGGCCCAAAUCGCCGCCCCCCUGAACCGCGAGGAGGGGGAGCUCCCCCACGACGAGGAGGGGCAGGAGACCGGGCGAAAGAGGCCAGAUCCCCCGACGAAGGAGGGGGGACGCCGAAGCCCCUGGAGACAGAGGGGACGGUCCUGGCCCCUGAGGCUAUUCUCCCUGCAGGGGAUGUUAGCCAAGGGGGUCAUGACCAUCAGGUUGAGGAGGGCCGGGCAGAGGGGACACUCAGCGUGGUGGCCCCAGCGAGGCCUCACGGGGAAGCAUCGGCCCGACCCGAGGCUCCAGCUAGGGAGGGAGGAGGGAGAAUGGCCUGGGGCCAAGAUCCCGUGAUCUGGCCCAACCCUGACGACCCAGAGGGGAGGGCCAGGUUUGUGCUGGAUGACCCGUCAGAGUCUUACCUAUGGCGGGGUCUUGAAGAAUGCGGGCGGGCGAGCGUCGAGGCGCUCAACCGAGCGUCCGAGCUCGUGAGCCGCGACAUGUUUAAGUUCGCCCAGGUACGAUCUCUGUCCCUUUAUUCGUAGGGUGCUUGCGUCUUUGGGCUAAACCUUUGGCUAACGCUUAAUCUUUGAACUUGCAGGCGCUCCAAGCCGCUUCCCUGGAGAAGUCAACAUUCCUCCGAGGGGCGCGGGACACCUGGGCGGCUUGCGAUGAUGAGAAGGCCGCGCGAGAAGCGGCCGAGGGGGAACUUGCGAAGGAGUGCGAGAUCUCUGUCGAGCUUCGGCAGAAAUGCACAGCCCUUGCGACUGAGGCUUGGGAAGCCCGGGAAAAGGUCGCCCCUGUGGAAAAGAGGGUCAGCGACCUGACCCAGGAGUCCCAAGAGCAGAGGGCGGCGGCUGUUGACGGUCCUUAAGUAUCAAAUUUAAUUAUCAAAUAAAUAAAGAAAAGGAUCCAAAUGAAAUCAAGAAUAAGAGACAUGGCACUUGGCUAGACUGUUCUAUCUUUUAACCACUCAAGACAGAAGUGACAGUUACAAGUCCCAUGGUGAAGGUAAAGUAAGUAAGUUUUAAGUCUAAACAGUCUACCCUAACUCAGAGAUGAGAUCUUAUUUAAAAGCAUGUGUACCGCCAAUUUUUAAAAAAAUAUUGCAGCAACUUCUGAUCCAUAGUUGAGUCUAUCCUUGCUCAGGGACGAGCAAGAGGUAAGCACAAUAGCAAACACGGCAAGGCCUACAAGAGGAGAGGAAAGAGAGGAGAAUGGUCAAGGCUGCCGCGCAUCGUCAUCACUAGGCAUCAGUCAGUCGAGGGGGGAGGACGAAGAGGUGCUGAGGAGAGAGAAGCUUCACAGAGCUUUGCUUGGUUGGGGUUGGAGCCCUGGGGGCGUGCCAGCCGAGCUGUCCGUCUCUCUCUCUCCAUUCCACCACCCACCAGCUACUACUACCUCGGGAGGGCAAGGGGAAAAUCUGCGGCCUCCUUUCCCGAGCCCGGUUGGAUGGAGAGGGACUUCCUGGCCGCGAUCGGCAAGGAGCACCCGCACCCGCACAAGGAGAAGGCAGCUGGCGCGGCGGAGGAUUCAGGUAUGCUCCCCGGCCUCCUUUCGCCGCCUGCCGCGCUCUGUUUCUUGAUCUGUGCCCGCACCCAGCCGUGGCCUAGUUUCUUCUUGCCGUGCUUGGUUGGGUUCGCUCAAUUCGUUUCGGCGAGAUGCGGCAUGGGUGCGCUGCGAAAUUCAAGCGCCCCCUUCUCUCUCUCUCUCUUUCUCCCCUGUUUUUCUUUUUUUUUCUUUGUUACUAGCUUUACUUUAUCCUGGCAACAAAAGAGUGCGGUGCGGUGCGGGCAUGGCUGUCUGGCAUUAAGUAUCAAAUUUAAUUAUCAAAUAAAUAAAGAAAAGGAUCCAAAUGAAAUCAAGAUCUAGACUUAGGGUUUUAUCUGACAGAAUUCCACGAGUUUUGGUGUUUGUCUAUUUCUGCAGGGGGUUAUCAGGAAAUAUGGAAGAAAGGCCCACAUGUCAGGAUUACGUAAAGAUAUUAACGUGCUGCGCAAUUAUCUUACAUCUAGAAGACUCCAGAAGCCACGAGACCGAAGCGGAGGCGAAACGGGGCCAGAGGCAGGGCGCCCGCCCUGUCCUACUAGGCGCCCGCCCCCUGUCCAAGUCCAAUCAGGACUCUGCUUUGCGGGAAGUCUCCACCGACCUAAAGGAUGAAUCUAAACCAUACAAUCUAUGUCGGUUUGAUCCAAGGGCCCAUAUUCACUUGAAGGGACUAUAAAACCAGACCCCCUGGCCCCUAGAGGAGAGAGCCUCUCAACCCUAAUUCAUUGUUCCAUCAAGGGAGAAGAAGCCUCUGAUCAAGAUUAGAGCCACCACAUCAAUUAGAUAUCUAGAUUAGCAUAGCUACAUAGGAUUAGAACUAGAAGGAGUCAAUCUUCGAUUGGUUUCCGGAUCUGUCAGGAGGAUUCUUGGUAAUUCUCUAAUUGUGUUUCUAAUUACUUUCUAAUUAUCUUUGUUCUUCAAUAUUAUGAAUAUGACUUUGUUCUACUUCAAUAUAUUGCUUAUGACUUUGCUCUACUUGCUUAUAUUCAAGAUUAUAUUGUUCUUAGUUUAUCAUAGUUAUGUACUUGGCUUAGUUAGAUACGAUCUAUAUACAUGCUUAGGAUCGUAUAGUGUUUAUCCAUCGGAUCCAUGGGUAAAUGAUAGAUAUUGUGUAGGCGUGGUGCUUAUACCGUAUUUAUCUGCGAUUGUACCCAAUAUGCCAGAUCGUGGGGUGGUUCGUGAUAGUGACAGCUUCAUUGAUUCUUAUAUAGUCCCCCUCUCGUGUAUUGGGCUGGCAGAGCAACAUUAUUACAGGGGAGUGAUUGCUAUGUUUCUCAUAUUCCUUGCUAAUAUCACUAUGCAUGGGCGUAGUCUUGUCUCACAAUGAUUGCUAAGUAUGCUUGCACUAACUAUGAUAAUGCUAGACUAUAUAGUUGAGAAUAACUUAGGGAAUAUUCUUGUAGUUCGUUCUAAUACCAUGCUAAUGACUUUCUAGAGUAUCUAAUUGAGGUGCUUAUCAUAUUUAUUAUGUGGCUAGAUCAGAUUAGUUAUCCUUGUCACUAUUAUUAUUUCAUAUACCUUUUAUGUGACACUUAUCCCUGUAUGAUGAGUUAGAUAUAAUGUUCUCAAUUAUACAUGCAAUGAUAGAUGCUCAAUCUCAUAUUCUAUUCUGUAAUCAAUAUUGAUGAUUGCUAAUCCCUUUCCAGUGGUAAAAAUAUAAAUAACGAUACCUGGAAUACUUCCCGGUUAAAAUGCUGCAUCGGUAUUAAUCUGUGCGCUUGCAGAUCCCAUUCAUUAUUAGAAGAGCAAUUGCAUAUUUCAAUACCGCGUCUCUUAUAUCAUGCUGGGGAUGACAACUUGGCUUAAGUGGUGUAAGGGAUAGGUUUGGCAUUUUUGGCACCGUUACUAGAUUUAGAGAACUUAGUCUACUUUUAGUAAUGAUGUUAAGAAUACCCAACAAGCAUUUUUGGCGCCGUUGCCGGGGAAGGUUGAUUACUAAUCAGGAAUGGAAUAAAAGAUUUUGAGUUAAAAUUAGCAUCACUAAUAUGAUUGAGCUUAUCUAUUCUCUCAUACAGUUUUACCCCGAUAUUUUUCUAUUUUAUCUUAUGCAGGGGAAUGUAUGAAUAGAAGACAUCUUCCAGGAAAUUUUGUUGACAAUCUCGAAGCAUUAUUCAAGAAGACGAGAGCCAAGCUAAAGAAAUCAUCAACACUUCACGAAGAAGCUUCAUCCAAUCAAGAAGAUCACCGGAACUUGUCUUCAGAGUUCGAAGCCAUGGCGAACAAAUCAAUCCGCGAGUUCUCAGCUCCCACUACGGACAACAUCCGCACUGGACCUGCUGCAGAGAUCGAUGGCAACUUGGAGCUCAAGCCUAGACUUAUCAACAUGGUGCAAUCCAACCAGUUCUGUGGGAAGGCACACGAAGAUGCUAGUGCUCAUUUACAACACUUCCUGGAGAUUUGCAACACAUUCACCAUAGCAGGAGUUUCCAAAGACGCUAUACUACUUCGCCUCUUCCCAUUCUCACUGUUAGGAAGAGCGAAGCAGUGGUUCUACGCUACAAAGGAGAAGAAUACUACGUGGGCACUCUGCUCAACAAACUUCCUGGCUAAGUUCUUUCCCAUGGGCAAGACCAAUGCUCUCCGUGGGAAGAUUACAAGUUUUCAGCAACAAAAUGAUGAAUCUGUUCCAGAAGCAUGGGAGCGCUUUCAAGACUACAUCCUAGAAUGUCCCCAUCAUGGAAUGGAGAGUUGGCUAUUGAUGCAGACGUUCUAUCAUGGGCUCAGCAACAGUGCCCGAGAGACCAUGGAUGCUGCAGCUGGAGGAGCAUUCUUAUCACUUACUAUACCACAAGCCACAGCUCUUGUGGAGAAGAUGGCGUCCAACCAAAGCUGGAAUGAAGAGAGGACCCAGACACGCAAGAGAGGUGGAGGUAUACAUCAGCUGAAGGAGGUAGACAUGCUGUCUGCAAAGCUAGACCUGCUCAUGAAGAAGCUCGAUGAUAGAGCUGGAGACAAGAAAGAAGUUAUGCACAUCUACGACUCUCACAUGACUUGUGAGGAGUGUGGAGACACUGGACACUCAGGCAACCACUGCCCUGAGAUACUUGAGGAUGUGAACUACAUCAACAACAACAACAACAACUACUACAACCGUCCUCAACAAAAUCAAGGUUGGAAUCAACAGAGGCCUAACUACUCAGGUAAUUAUCAAGGUAACAAUUCUUACAACAACAACAAUAAUUUUCCACCUUUGAGAGAGUUAGUAUCUAAUCAAGGAAAGCUAAUGGAUAACCUAUCUAAGAAAUUGGCAUCUAAUGAUAAAAUGCUAGAAAAUAUAAAUAAUAGAAUGGAUAAAUUCUCUACUGCCAUCAAGAAUCAAAUUAGCUUUAAUAAAAUGAUUGAAUCUCAGUUAAAUCAAAUAGCUGCUGUUGUUCCUACUACUAACCCCGGUAUACCAUCACAACCGGAAGGAUUAGAAUCUGCAAAUCUUGUAGACAUGUUUGAUGCAGGUAAUUGGAGUAACCCCGUCACUGAAUUUUCUACUGACCUUCUGCCGGUCAAGAGAGGCGAUCCAGGACGUCCCGUCAUCCCGAUCUCCAUCGGCAUGGUGGACUUCCCAGAAGCACUCUGUGACUUUGGCUCUAGUGUCAACAUUAUACCCAUGGUACUCUAUGAAAAAUUCUUUACAUAUCCUUUAUUAGAGACAACCAUGUGUUUUUGCAGUUUGCAGAUCAGACGAUAACUUUUCCAAAAGGAAUAGUGAAGAACCUUUGUGUUCGAGUUGGUACCUUAUAUGCCCCAGCAGACUUCGUAGUGGUAGAGACCGGAAAUGACGAGAGAGCACCUAUCAUCCUAGGGAGGCCAUUCUUGAACACAACGGGAGCUAUCAUCUACGCCAGUGCUGCCAAGAUCAGUUUCUACGUCAAAGGGAAGAAGGAGACAUUUUUCUUCAAGAACAAGACUACACAAAUUCCAGAUCAAUCCAGACGUGAAUCAAGGAAGAGGACCAACAGGAGGAACAGGAACAAGCAAGUGUGGACCGAGUCAGCUAAGAUGGUCACUGUAGUCCAUGGAGGCCAAGAUCAGCAACUGAAGUCACCGUUUUUGACCAAGAAGGACGACCCAGGAAUGCCAAGCAUUUACUGCUCCAUAAAUAGAUAUAACUUCUACAAGACGAUUUGCGACACCGGAUCAGGCGUCAACAUAAUGGCCGCAGUCACCUAUCGGCUCUUGUUCGGAACCAUGCCACUAAAACCAACAUACAUUCAGCUCCAGAUGGCAGAUCAGACAUUUCGAGAAGUUCAAGGAAUAGUAUCUGAUGUCCCAGUCAAAAUAGACGAUCACUUUGUCUACACAGACUUUCAAGUUGUUGACAUGGGAGAAGACGAGUAUGAUCCACCCAUCAUCCUUGGAAGGUCGUUCCUCAGCACCGUUAAAGCAAUUAUCUACAUUGGAACCGGAGAAGUCCAUAUGCACUUCCCCUCAGAGAAGGUACGCCGUUAUUUUACUGACCCUAACUAUAUCGUUGAAGAAUCUAAGCAGGUCAGAAAGAGACGCAACCGCAACCAGAGGAGGCAGAUCAUCAAGGACGGAUGGGCAGACUAUGAAGGAGAAGUUGUAAGGUCAGAAAACGUAGAGUUUAAACAGAAUUAUCCAGAGGAGAUUGAAGCACCGAGUCAGGUAUGGAAAAUGAAGAUAACUAUACAUGAAGAGGAGGCGCUGCCGGAAGUACCGACUACGCCACCCAACGAACCUCAGGACGAUUAAGAAAUUGGAGAGUCCCGUUCGGAGGACUUAAAAACACCGAACGCCUUGCCAAGAGGUAAACUUGGUAGUUACCCUUUCCCUUUCAGUUAUUUCAAAUAGUUUACUUAGUUAAACAUGCUCAUGCUGUCUUAAAAGAAAAUAAAAAUAUGAAAAACAGUAAGCCCCAUGUGAGUAUACGAGUGGCAUAAAACCCAUAAGUACUUUCACUGUGGAGGCAUAAAAAUAAAAAAAUAUUUUUCUGCUUUAUAAAAUAAAAAAAUAUAAAAACAGGGAGUAAUAUUUACUAAGGAGUCUCAACGUGAUAAAGGCUAGAUAUUUAUGCUAACACUUAAUCAGUUCCACAAGCUUUGUUGUCUAUUUGAGCUCCACAGAAUUUAAGAAUCAAGAAGACUAGCAGAAGGAGGACAUUCUAAUCGCUGUCAGAAUGCUGCUGACUUUCAAAUACACCUCUGCCGCCUGCUAGCUACAUCAAGAGAAAUUACGUCAAAAUUCAGCUUGGGGGAGAGCACCCCCAUUUAUCACGAUAAGUAUUUCUAUCUAUCUUUAUAUUUAUAUUAUUUUAGAAUAUUAAAAUACACAUAAACUAUGGAAAAACCAAAUAAAGAUUUUAUGCUUAUAUAUGUCUUUUGCUUAGUGUGUUUAAUAAAUAAAUAAAGUGGCUAUGCUAAUCUGUAUCUAAAUAAAACUUAAGCAUGGAUAUGAUGGAAAGUUGCUCUGCCUAAUUUGCAAAUUUUAAAGUUCUCUCUCUCAAGUUUAGAUAUAACUGUUAUAAUUUAAAGCUUGCUCUAGAUCUAAACUUGUGGGAUAAAAACUUGAUCUGAAGUCUAAGUUGUUAACGGAUACGAUAUGGGAAGGCUGAGCUGUUGUUUAUCUGUUCCUAGAGAUGCUAGAAUUCUGGAGAAUUUUAGCUUUGAAAAUCUUUAAAAUGUUGCAUGAUGAGUUCCUGUAUGAUGAGAGAUUAAAUUCCUACCACAGCCAUAUAUACAUGCUUGCUAGACUUUGAGCCACACAUUUACUAUUUACUGCUUAUGAGCAUUGAGUGUGGUCAAGCUGUGUAGACCCUUAGGAGCUUGUCAUGUGGUUAAAUCAAGAUUUCACUUACACGUUCACUCAUAUAUGCUACUUCUACUCCGGAAGUACCAUCCACAUAUAUCCACCCAUUCCAUCUCCAGAAUCACCCAAAAAUAUUCUGCUCCUAAUCCGGGAGAGAAUAACCAAAAAUAUUUCUGUUUUUCCCUUGUGAAAUAAAUGCUCAAGUUAUCUUGUUACUACCACUUGCUAUAUUAUCUCAAGAGAUGAAUGCUCUAAAAAAAAGAAAAAAAAUAUAUAAUAAUACGAGGAAAUAAAAAGGAGCAAGUGCUCGGAACCUCGAAAGAAAAGAAAAAGUGAGACGAGAGGUAAAAAUGGACAAGUGUCCGACAGUAGAAUUAGGGGUACAAGAUACCCACCUGAGAGAAAAGAAAAAGAAGAGCAUCUCAUUCUCCUCAUAAAGUUUCAAAAGCAAGGAAGGUAUGUAUCCCCUCAAAAGAGCAAAGUAGAAUUAGACUUCCACCACCAUUGUUUUCACCAUUGUUAUCACCAUCAUCACCAUAUACCAUUCAUUCGCCACACAUGCACAUCUUGAUUAAACUUAUUGACUUGUUACUUUGGAUCCAUGGUUUGACUAUACAAUACAUGUCUUGUAAGUAUGUAUACUUUAUCUCCCACCUAUGAGCUCCAGAUAUUAAAGCCUUAUUAGAGUAGGGUGAGAGAGAAGGCAAUGUCACUAUGCUUUAUACCACAAAUACCACAUAUCUUGAGAGAAGGCAUAUACCAUCAAUGCCUUGGUAAGGAUCAAAAAAAUACCACAAAAGAGAGACCUGAGAGAAUCAUACAAGGAAACUCUGAGUUUUAUUUGAAAAUCUGCAAAAAUCCCAGAGCUAUAGUUGAUCAAGAAUAAGAGACAUGGCACUUGGCUAGACUGUUCUAUCUUUUAACCACUCAAGACAGAAGUGACAGUUACAAGUCCCAUGGUGAAGGUAAAGUAAGUAAGUUUUAAGUCUUAACAGUCUACUCUAACUCAGAGAUGAGAUCUUAUUUAAAAGCAUGUGUACCGCCAAUUUUUAAAAAAAUAUUGCAGCAACUUCUGAUCCAUAGCUGAGUCUAUCCUUGCUCAGGGACGAGCAAGAGGUAAGCUUGGGGGAGUUUGUUGACGGUCCUUAAGUAUCAAAUUUAAUUAUCAAAUAAAUAAAGAAAAGGAUCCAAAUGAAAUCAAGAUCUAGACUUAGGGUUUUAUCUGACAGAAUUCCACGAGUUUUGGUGUUUGUCUAUUUCUGCAGGGGGUUAUCAGGAAAUAUGGAAGAAAGGCCCACAUGUCAGGAUUACGUAAAGAUAUUAACGUGCUGCGCAAUUAUCUUACAUCUAGAAGACUCCAGAAGCCACGAGACCGAAGCGGAGGCGAAACGGGGCCAGAGGCAGGGCGCCCGCCCUGUCCUACUGGGCGCCCGCCCCCUGUCCAAGUCCAAUCAGGACUCUGCUUUGCGGGAAGUCUCCACCGACCUAAAGGAUGAAUCUAAACCAUACAAUCUAUGUCGGUUUGAUCCAAGGGCCCAUAUUCACUUGAAGGGACUAUAAAACCAGAUCCCCUGGCCCCUGGAGGAGAGAGCCUCUCAACCCUAAUUCAUUGUUCCAUAAAGGGAGAAGAAGCCUCUGAUCAAGAUUAGAGCCACCACAUCAAUUAGAUAUCUAGAUUAGCAUAGCUACAUAGGAUUAGAACUAGAAGGAGUCAAUCUUCGAUUGGUUUCCGGAUCUGUCAGGAGGAUUCUUGGUAAUUCUCUAAUUGUGUUUCUAAUUACUUUCUAAUUAUCUUUGUUCUUCAAUAUUAUGAAUAUGACUUUGUUCUACUUCAAUAUAUUGCUUAUGACUUUGCUCUACUUGCUUAUAUUCAAGAUUAUAUUGUUCUUAGUUUAUCAUAGUUAUGUACUUGGCUUAGUUAGAUACGAUCUAUAUACAUGCUUAGGAUCGUAUAGCGUUUAUCCAUCGGAUCCAUGGGUAAAUGAUAGAUAUUGUGUAGGCGUGGUGCUUAUACCGUAUUUAUCUGCGAUUGUACCCAAUAUGCCAGAUCGUGGGGUGGUUCGUGAUAGUGACAGCUUCAUUGAUUCUUAUAUAGUCCCCCUCUCGUGUAUUGGGCUGGCAGAGCAACAUUAUUACAGGGGAGUGAUUGCUAUGUUUCUCAUAUUCCUUGCUAAUAUCACUAUGCAUGGGCGUAGUCUUGUCUCACAAUGAUUGCUAAGUAUGCUUGCACUAACUAUGAUAAUGCUAGAGUAUAUAGUUGAGAAUAACUUAGGGAAUAUUCUUGUAGUUCGUUCUAAUACCAUGCUAAUGACUUUCUAGAGUAUCUAAUUGAGGUGCUUAUCAUAUUUAUUAUGUGGCUAGAUCAGAUUAGUUAUCCUUGUCACUAUUAUUAUUUCAUAUAUCUUUUAUGUGACACUUAUCCCUGUAUGAUGAGUUAGAUAUAAUGUUCUCAAUUAUACAUGCAAUGAUAGAUGCUCAAUCUCAUAUUCUAUUCUGUAAUCAAUAUUGAUGAUUGCUAAUCCCUUCCCAGUGGUAAAAAUAUAAAUAACGAUACCUGGAAUACUUCCCGGUUAAAAUGCUGCAUCGGUAUUAAUCUGUGCGCUUGCAGAUCCCAUUCAUUAUUUAUUUAGAAGAGCAAUUGCAUAUUUCAAUACCGCGUCUCUUAUAUCAUGCUGGGGAUGACAACUUGGCUUAAGUGGUGUAAGGGAUAGGUUUGGCAUUUUUGGCACCGUUACUAGAUUUAGAGAACUUAGUCUACUUUUAGUAAUGAUGUUAAGAAUACCCAACAGCGGCCGAGGGGUACAAGGGCGAGGUUGCUCGGCUUGAGGCUCUGCUCGCCGAAAAAGACCUUGCCCUGAACCAAGCUCAGGCUGACCUUUCUGCUGCCCAGAGCGAGGUGGCUCGCUGGCAUCGGAGCUCGGCGGAGAACGAGAAGCGAGCCGAGGGUAAGAGCUGCGUCUUUUACCUUGGCUCUCUUUUGACUUUCCUAACUUUUCUCUUCUUUUUUUGUUCUGCUUUUCAACAGAGUCGGGGUGGAAGAUGGCCGAGGCAACCUCUGCCGCUGAGGCCUUGCAGAGGUCCCUUGACGCCGAGGUCACGGACCGCUCGGCUCUGGAAGCCGUCGUUACCUCAACGUGCGAGGGGCUCGGGGUGUCGGCGUCGGGGUCGUCGCUGCAGAGUCGAGUCGAAGCUCUGGCGGGGAGAAGAUGAGGGAGGCACUCCACGCCGGGGUAAUGAAAGCCCUGGCGGUGGUGAACUCUCACUACGUCAGCAUUGAUCUGCCGGCGGUCUGUGAGGGCUACGUCCUCCCUGACGAUGAAGUGGAGGCCCAGGAGGAGCUGCAGAGACUUGAGGACGCCGUGAAUGCCCCGGGAGAUGCCUUGGCCGCCUUCUUUGGUGCCGAGGUGGAGCUUCCCCCUCUCGGCGCGCAGGGGCCUGCGUAGGCGGGGCAACAAGGCCCUUUAAGUUAGAUUUCUCUUUUUUGUAAACGUCAAGGCCAGUGGGUCUUGUAUUGUAUAUAUAUAACAUGAAUGUUUAUAUGAUUGUUCCUCUUAAGGUUUUCCUUUGUUAUCUUGUUGUGUGUUUUUCCCUAUGCUGACCCGACCUCGGCAGCGCGGGGUCGGGUGAGCUACUUAGGGUCUGUGCUAGCCAGAGUCCCCGAGCCUAUGUCCUUUUCCUUUUCCUUAGUAAUUUUCAGAGGUCCGGAUCCACCCCCCGAUCCUAGGGGUGAGUAGAGGUCGUCCUUGCCCGUGGGCGCGGAUCUUUCCUCAGGCUCAUGCCUUAAGGUUUUAGGGGAUGGAUCUGCGGUUUCUUAAAUCCCUUUAGGAAAUGAAAGAGGACACCAGGUUAGGGUUCUUUGACUUGUGCAAAAAAGGGAAAAAGAUUUGGAGUUGCCACAGGGGGUUCCCCCCGUGUAGCCCCCGAGGGAGGCUCGGACUCUGCAAGGCAAGGCAGGUCGGAGGCUCACUUAAAAGAAACAACCAUAUAACUUAAACUUUCAUUUAUUCUUUCAAGGUGAUGAACAAAUGGAGAUUUUUACAAAAUUCUAAGGGUAGAAGCGACGUAGCUGUUCUAUAUUCCACGCGUUCUUGAAGACCUCCCCUGCUUCGUUGACGAGCUUGUAGGUGCCAGGUCGGAGGACUUCGGCGAUGACAAAAGGUCCUUCCCAGGGGGGCAUGAACUCGUGAUGACCCUUGUUGCUCUGCCUGAGCCUCAGCACCAAGUCGCCAACUUGAAAGGCUCGGCCUCGGAUUCAUCGCGUGUGGUAUCGGUGGAGGGCCUGCUGGUACUUGGCAGAGUGUAGGUGGGCUACGUCUCUGGCUUCAUCCAGCUGGUCCAACGCGUCUUCUUGGUACGUCUUGCAGCUGUUUUCGUCGUAGGCUUGUACCCUUGGGGACCCGUACUCCAGAUCCGUUGGGAGGAUGACUUCCGACCCAUAGACCAUGAAGAACGGGAUGAAGCCUAUGGCUCGGCUUCGGGAAGUCCUUAGACUCCAGACCAUGGCCGGUAGCUCUUUGAGCCACCUUUUUCCGAACUUGUCCAACCAGUUGAAAAUCCUGGGCUUAAGACCCUGGAGGAUCAUGCCAUUGGCACGCUCCACCUGACCAUUGGUCUUUGGGUGAGCCACUGCUGCCCAGUCCACACGUAUGUGGUGUCUGUCGCAGAACUCCAGGAACUUCCGCCUGGUGAACUGUGUGCCGUUAUCGGUGAUUAUGGAGUUUGGCACUCCAAAUCGGUGGAUAAUAUCCGUGAAGAACAACACCGCUUGUUCGGCCUUGAUCCUUGUGAUGGGUCGGACCUCAAUCCACUUGGAGAACUUGUCAAUUGCGACAAGCAAGUGGGUGAAGCCCCCGGGCGCCUUUUGCAGAGGCCCGACGAGGUCGAGACCCCAGACAGCAAAGGGCCAGGUGAUGGGGAUCGUCUGCAAAGCCUGAGCGGGGAGAUGAAUCUGCCGAGCGUAAAACUGGCAUCCCUCGCAGGUUCGCACGAUUUCGGUGGCGUCAGCCACGACGGUGGUCUAGUAGAAGCCUUGUCGGAAGGCAUUUCCUACCAGCGUUCGAGGCGCGGCGUGAUGGCCACAAGCCACCGAGUGUAUGUCCUCCAGGAGCUUGAUUCCCUCUUGACGUGGCAUGCAGCGCAUAAGGAUACCCGAGGGGCUACGCUUGUACAUCUCUCCGUCGAGGAGGACGAAAGUCUUGGCACGGCGAGCCACACGCCGUGCCUCUGCCUGGUCUGGGGGCAAAGUGCCGUCGACGAGGCAUUGGAGCAAAGGGUAGCGCCAGUCCGGCAAGUCGUCAGGCGCAAGGGGCUUAGACUCGAUGUCCAUGGCCUCCUGUUCCUGAGCGGUGGAGGCCUCGGGGUCGGGGCCUGGGUCGCUUGGGGGUUUAUCCGAGCCCCCGUCGUCCUUGUAGUCGACAGAAGGCUUGUGGAGGUCGCUGACGAAAACAUCUGGAGGGACCAUGGCCCGUUCGGAUGCCAUCUUGGCGAGCGCGUCGGUGGCCUCAUUGUAUUUUCUUAACACGUGGUUAAGCUCGAGACCGUCGAACUUUUCCUCCAGGCGCCGGACUGCUUUGCAGUAUGCGUCCAUCUUGGGAUCGUGGCAGCUAGACUCUUUUAUGACUUGGUCGAUGAUGAGUCUAGAGUCGCCUCGGACGUCAAGCCGUUUGAUCCCGAGCUCAAUCGCGAUGUGGAGACCAUUGACGAGGGCCUCGUACUCUGCCGUGUUGUUUGAGGCGGGGAAGUGGAGUCGGAUCGCAUAUCGCAUCCUUACCCCGAGGGGCGAAAUGAAGAUGAGGCCAGCGCCGGCCCCGGUUUUCAUCGAAGACCCGUCGAAGUACUAGGUCCAGCACUCAUGCUGGAUUUAUGGUGGAGGGAGCUGGGUCCCUGUCCACUCAGCCACAAAAUCCGCUAGGACUUGGGAUUUUAUAGCUUUCUGAGGCUCAUAGGUGAUCCCGUCGCCCAUGAGCUCUAUAGCCCAUUUGGCAAUCCUACCAUUAGCCUCACGGUUCUGAAUCACUUCCCCCAGAGGGAAAGAUGAUACUACCGAGACCGGAUGAGACUCGAAGUAAUGGCGGAGUUUGCGUCGGGCCAAGACUACCGCGUAGAGUAGCUUUUGGAUUUGGGGGUAUCGGGUCUUUGUGUCAGACAGUACUUCACUGAUGAAGUACACUGGUCUUUGGACCGGCAGGGCGUGCCCUUCUUCCUUCCUUUCGACCACGAUAGCUGCGCUGGCCACCUGAUCAGUGGCUGCGACGUAGAGAAGCAAUGGUUCCCCCUCGGCAGGAGGUACCAGAAUGGGAGGAUUGGUGAGCAGAGCCUUGAGCUUGUCAAGGGCUUCCUGGGCCUCAGGGGUCCAGGAAAAAUGCUCGGACUUUCUAAGUAACCUAUAGAGAGGUAGCCCUUUCUCCCCGAGACGGGAGAUGAAACGACUUAGGGAGGCUAGGCACCCCAUGACUCUCUAUACUCCCUUUAGGUUACGAAUUGGGCUCAUGUUUGCGAUGGCCGAGACCUUUUCUGGGUUGGCCUCGAUCUCUCGCUCAGACACGAUAAACCCGAGGAGCAUGCCUCAGGGGACACCAAAAACGCAUUUUUUGGGGUUGAGUCUGAUCCCUUUUGCCCUGAGGCAUCGGAAUGUUUCAUCCAGGUCGGGAACUAGGCCUCUUGCCUUCCUGGAUUUGACAACAAUGUCGUCUACAUAGGCCUCUACCGUUUUGCCUAUCAGGUCCCCAAAGACUUGGAGCAUACAUCGCUGGUAUGUAGCCCCCACGUUCUUAAGACCGAAAGGCAUAGUUACGCAGCAAUACAUUCCGAAAGGAGUGAUGAAAGAAGUCACGAGCUGGUCGGACUCUUUCAUCUUGAUUUGGUGGUAGCCGGAAUAAGCAUCAAGAAAAGAUAAAAUUUCACAUCCCGCAGUGGAGUCAACUAUCUAAUCGAUACGAGGUAAUGGAAAGGGGUUCUUAGGACAUGCUUUAUUUAAACUAGUAUAGUCUACACACAUCCUCCACUUCCCAUUUUUCUUUUUGACUUGUACAGGGUUAGCUAACCACUCGGGAUGGAAUACCUCCUUGAUGAAUCCGGCUGCCAGCAACUUGUGGAUCUCCUCCCCGAUGGCCCGGCGCUUCUCCUUGUUCAAUCAGCGCAGGCGUUGCUUCACGGGUUUGGAGCCGGCUCGGAUGUCCAAGGAGUGCUCGGCGACUUCCCUCGGUAUGCCAGGCAGGUCCAAGGGACUCCACGCAAAUAUGUCGGCAUUUGCGCGGAGAAAGUCGACGAGCACCACUUCCUAUUUGGGGUAGAGGCUGGAGCUGAUCCUCAACUCCCUGCCCUCAGAGGUCCUGGGGUCGAGGAAGACGAGCUUGGUCUCCUCCGCCGGCUCGAAGCUCCCGGCGUGCCGCUUCGGGUCGGGGAGGUCCUGGUCACCGUCGCCGAGGCUGGUGAGGAUAGCCAGAGCACUCCUCAAGGGUGUGCUUGGUUGGUCCCCUAUGAUAGGGGCACGGCUUCUUCAACAUCUCGUCAAAGAGACCGGGGCCAGCAGGAGCCUGCUUGGGGUUCUUGCGAUCUGCCGCGGCGACCAGGUUGUCGUCCGACUGACCCUGCUUCCCCUUGCGACCCUUCUUCUUCUUGGGGUCGCGUGAGCCCGAGGCUUCGGUGGCCUCGGCCUUUUGUUUCCCCUUGGCAGUGCCGUCGGAGAAAAUGGCACCAACUGCCUCUUCGCCCGAGGCAAAGUUGGUGGCGAUGUCGAGCAGCUGGCUGGUGCUCGUGGGGGUCUUGCGACCGAGCUCGUGUACCAGUUCCUUGCAGGUGGUACCGGCGAUGAAGGCCCCGAUGACGUCGGAGUCGGUGAUGUUGGGGAGCUCGGUGCAUUGCUUGGUGAAUCGCCUGAUGAAGUCUCGGAGGGAUUCAUCAGGCUUCUGCUGGCAGCUCCUGAGGUUCCAGGAGUUCCCAGGGCGCACGUAAGUGCCCUGGAAGUUCCCGACGAAGAUCCUGACCAGGUCGGCCCAGUCGUGGAUCAUGCGCUCAGGGAGGUGCUCAAGCCACGCUCUGGCCAUAUCGGCCAGGUGGAGUGGCAGGUUGCGGAUGAUGAGCAAGUCAUCGUCCGCCCCACCUAGCUGACAUGCUAGGCGGUAGUCUGCUAGCCAGAGCUUAGGGUUGGUUUCUUCCGAGUACUUGGUGAGGUUAGCGGGCUGUCGGAAUCGCGCCAGGAACUUGGCCCUACGGAUGGCCUCGCUGAAGACACGGGGGCCCGGAGGCUCUGGCGACGUGCUGCGGUCGUGGUCGGGGUCGUACCUCCCGCCUCGGCGCGGUCGAUAGUGUCGAGAAUCGGCCUCGUCCCUGUCGCGCCGUCUGGCCUCGAGGGUGGCCCAGACGUCCGCGUCGACCCCGACACGCUCGUGGACAGAUGGGGCCCUGUUGCCUCCUUGUGGGUUAGGGGGCGGCGGACCCUGCACCGUUGGCGCCUUGUUAGGAGGGGGUCGGUCCCCUUGGCGUCUCGUGUCGUGGGACUGUGACACAGAACUUUCUGCGUUCUACACCACAGCUUGCUCCAGGAGGCCGCGCAGCCCCUGGCGCACCCUUCUCCCCUCAGGAGUCGAUGGCUCGGGCAUCGCUCUGAGGAGGAGUGCGGCAGCCAUCACGUUUUGGCUAGCCAUGCUGAAGACUGGGGGGUUGUCACCCCCUUCGUCCUCGAUGAUGCGGCGGUUAACGUCCCGGGCACGGCGUCUAGCCUCGCCCCCAUCCCCGCGACCGGACGGGUCUUGGACCAGGGUCUCGCGGAGUUGGCGGAGGCGUACGCGCUCUUCUUCGAGCCUAGCCUCCAGCUCAUUGAGCUGCUCGAGGUCAGGGCGCUGUCCUCCUGGCGAAGCUGAGGCGGCCCCGCGGGCUCCAGGAUGGAUCCCGGGAGUCGGGUUGGGAGGUGGAGUGGCGUUCCCCUGCCUAGAGGGUCCUGCACCCCCUUGAGCGUGGGGGGGCGCUCCUCCGACCUCAAGGUUGAAGCACUCUCGCGACGGGUCGUAUCCGCCGUCGUCAGAGUCGGAGUAGCCGAGGCAGUAGUUGCUGGCCUCCAGAAAACGCAUGAUCAUUUCCGGGUCGCCACACCCGGAAAAAUCAACGCCAACCCACUCAUUGUCGCCUGAGGUGGGAUGCUCAGGGUAUGACGAGGCGGGCGGUGUAGCGAUAAGGUCGAGGGUAGACCUCAGGUGGUGUCCUGGAAGGUCCGCGUACGCACUCAAUGAAGUGCUUACGGAAGAGGCGUAAGUGGCGGCCGUGUUCCUGAGCCUGAAAGGGAGCUCGGGAGGUGCCGCUGUCUCACCUCCACCCAUAGGUGGAGGGGGAUGAGACGUUGAGGCCCCUUUGUCCCCCUUCUGGGGAGCAGGCGGGAGUCGUGCCUUCCCCUUUAUCCGGGGCGGGACAGGAGGUCGUGAUGAUCCCUUGUUGGUCCGAGGAGCGGAGCUUGAUGCUCCACGGGCCCUUCCUCUAGCGCCUGUCGGGCCGGAGGAACGGGCGAUCUGGUGAGGAAUAUGCGGGGGGAGGGCCGGACGAACCCUUGCCUCAGUGGUGGGGUCAGAGAUGCUAGACCUCUGACGCCCCCGCCGGGCGCCCCCCGUAUGGUGCCCCGAGCGCCUCCCACGUACUGACUGUGGUGGGAUCGGCUCAGGGCGAGGCUCGGCGUCACCACGUGGUGGGAGGAGGACCAUGUCAUAGCCGGAGCCGAGCGACAUGAACUCCAAACUCCCAAACAUCAUGAUGGUGCCGAAGCGGAGUGGGUGGAAUCCGUCUGCCAUCCGGGCUUUCCUUAGUAGGGAAAGAUGAAUGCCACGCAAAAGGCCCCUACCUGGCGCGCCAACUGUCGGUGUCUAGACUCGCGGUCUAGACACAAACGAGUGUAAAUAUGCGUGACUAUCUAAGCCUGGAUGGUGAUGCAAGUGAAACACAGAGAAUUUAUACUGGUUCGGGCUAAGGAUGCCCUACGUCCAGUGAGAUCGGAGGUCUGUAUUGCCUUGCACCCAAAGGUGCUUGUAGUAGGGGCGUACAAGCAGGUUGCGAGAGAGGGCUUAGUCCCAAGUCUCAGCUUUGUGAUGUGGACAGAGCGCUGGUUGCUACUCUGUGGGUGAACUAGCUUGUGUGUAUGCUGUGUGGUUGAGCUUGUUGGUCGUGAACCUGUCUUGGUCGUGAGCCCUGGCUCCCCUUUUAUAGCCUCAAGGGGAGGCAAGUAUUUACAUGAGGGUUUGGAUAUUUCCUCUACUGAGUGGAGGAGUAACAGUCCCGACCCUGUAGAAGCUUGCCCAUCCCGUCCUUGAGGUAUGGCUGACAAUAUAGUUGCUCCUGUGGGGGGUUGCCGAGCCCUGUUGGAGUCGUGGGGGUCGGAUCGGCGAUACUGCAGUCUGUCAUGUUAACAGUGGGAAAAGAUAGCAAAUAGUGAUGCUGAUUAACCUCUCCCAUUCCCCUUUCACUGUAAGGCGGUACACCACAGUAAAAGAGGUAAGGCCGCACAGUGAAAGAGGUAAGGCUGCAGUGACCAGGGUGGUUGGAACAGUCGCCACCAUGCCCGGCUGCGAUAUGGGAGUCACUGCGCCUGUCACGUCGUGAGUACGGGCGCCAUGCGUUGGAAGCCUUGUUCUAACCGGGUGAAGCGGCGUUGGCGCCCGAGCCCUAUAGGGGUCGGGCGAGGCGGAACUUACGCCCGAGGCCUAGGGGGGUCGGGCGAGGCGGUGUCUGCGUCCGAGCCCUAGAGGGAUCGGGCGAGACGGAACUCGCGCUCGAGGCCAAGGGGUCGGGCGAGCCGCGAUUUGGGCCCGAGACCGAGGAGUCAGGUGAGCUGGGGCCCGCGCUCUGGUGGUCGUGAAUGGCUUAGUUCGUCUUUUGUGAUUUUUGUUGUUUUGAUUUGGGUAUCCCUUUUUAUGGUACCCAACAACAGUUGUGUUCUUCAUGACUGUUAAUUGUACGAACUUUGUUUUUUGAAUUAAAUGUUAUUUUAAUUUUGGUAUUUAAUUUCACAGUAUUGUUAUCUUACCAUGCGACGCGUAUGUUUUUAGUAUAAAAAAUUAGUUGUUCUGUAGCAAUGUACGGGCAUACUAUCUAGUAAUAUAAUAUGGUUCAAGCGUAUUUCUUGUAAAAAAAUAUACGCGUACCAACAGGCACAUGCCUUGCGGUGCGAGAUUGCAUCAGUUCAUGUCUUUUUGCUCGCUGUUUUUAUAAUUUAUAUUUUUCCCCGUUGAAACUCCUGCUAGAUGGAAACGGCCACCUAGUAAAAGUAAAGUAUUCCAUCAGUUGCACGCGACCACCGACGGCAUUGUUAGGGAAAAAUUACCCCUUUUUUUUGAACGGUCGGCAAAAGCUUUGUCGAAAGUAUAUUAGUAAGAGAAAAAUAAACAAAGUUACACACUUAUUUACAGCUGCUAUAUGCUAAUAGAAGGAAAAUAGAAAGUAAAAAAAAACACUACACAAAUACUUUUGUACAAUAGAGUAACCGGGAGAUACACUAUCUUCACUAAACAUAUUGAAAACUUGCAAAAGCUAUCGCCGAGCGUUCGCUAUCUCCGUGCGAUUUGCUUUUGACUGCUACUCCCUCCAUACUAAAUUGUAAGUCGUUUGACUUUUUUACUCCAAAUUUGACCACUCGUCUUAUUCAAAAAAUUUGUACAAAUAUAGUCAAAUUUAUUAAGUCAUUUUUGAAGAACUUUUAUUAAUAAAUCAAUACACAACAAAAAAAAGUAAUAUUUUGUACAAAACUUUGAAUAAGACGAGUGGUCAAACUUGAUAUUUAAAAAGUUAAACGAUUUAUAAUUUGGAAUGGAGUGAGUACUGCUCUGCAAGAGCAUCUUGCAUUGCUGAGCAAUGCUGUCGUGACGGUAGAGAGAAAAGUUCUUAUUUUUUUCCUGGCAAAAGGAGAGCUUCCAAUAGCUAGCACAGGAGUUAGGGCCUGUUUAGAUUGAGAACGAAAAUUUUUUGGGUGUCACAUCGGAUGUGUCGGAAGGAUGUCGGGAGGGGUUUUUAGAAACUAAUAAAAAAACAAAUUAUAUAGCUCGUCAGGAAACUGCAAGACAAAUUUAUUAAGCAUAAUUAAUCUGUCAUUAGCAUAUGUAGGUUACUGUAGCACUUAAGGCUAAUCAUGGAGUAACUAGGCUUAAAAGAUUCGUCUCGCGAUUCUUAACUAAACUGUGUAAUUAGUUUAUUUUUUUAUCUACAUUUAAUGUUCCAUGCAUGUGUCCAAAGAUUCGAUGGGAUGGAUGAAAAAAUUUUGGGUAGGAAACUAAACAGGGCCUUACUACUACAUACAGUCAUUAGCUACUCUCAUGGCUACUGGCCUACUGCAGGGUCUUCGUUACACACUCUUAGAGUCCACUCUUUAAACUUGCCAUAAUUUUCGGGCGGGCUGUGCUGCUCCCCCAUGCACCGUUAGCUAGGUAGACAAUGCUGCUGUCUCUUUGUUCAUCCUCUCUCGUCCCUCCUACUAAACCUAAAAUAAGAAUUAUUACUCUAUCUCCGCAACUAAACGAGACAAUUAAUUACAUAUUAGUUAUGGUAUUUUGCUGAUGUGGCACCAUAUUUAUUGAAGAAAGAGGUAGAAAAAAUAAGACUCCAAGUCUUAUUUAGACUCCAAGUCCACAUUAUUCGAGGUAAUAAAUAGCUUUAGACUUCAUGAUAGAGUCUACAUUGUGAGUGCCCUUAAACAUAGAGUCCACUCUUUAAACUUGCCAUAAUUUUCGGGCGGGCUGUGCUGCUCCCCCAUGCACCGUUAGCUAGGUAGACAAUGCUGCUGUCUCUUUGUUCAUCCUCUCUCGUCCCUCCUACUAAACCUAAAAUAAGAAUUAUUACUCUAUCUCCGCAACUAAACGAAGAGGUGAAAUCAUCCUAUAUCCUAGAAAAUAUAUAAGUCGUUGAAGUGCACAUGGAAAUGAUUCCAGACCGCAUCUGACAAAAUGACUGAAAAAACAAAGUUUAACAGCUUGAAAUCUGUCUGAUCAGCUCAUCAGAAUCUCGAACCAGUAAAGUCAGCAGGCCAGCAUUUUCCUUUUGUACCUCGCUCCGUAAAGACUACCGAGCAUCGUGCAUUGCCUGCCUGUAAAAAGAUGCACAUGGCAUUGUUCCGGAAUGGAAUAUACAGAUAGAUAUUGCAUCCAUAUAUAGCUAGUUGUAUUUAUUUUUGCAUUAGCCAAUUCACUGAAAUCUAAUAUAUUAAAGAGACAUCUCAUAUAUUCUUGGUAAACAUGAACAAAUUAAUAAAUUGUAGCCAAAGAAGCUAACCAUGGAGAAAAAGGAGACAAUACAUGCACGCGCAUUUUGAUUUUUCUUUGUUUCAUUACGAACAAGCCAGAACAAUGUGUUUAUUUCAUUUGAUCAGUACAUUUCAGUAAAUUAAAAAAAUCACAGGCAGGCCCGUUCUAUUGGAGUACGGGCCACAAGUGUAACUGUUUGGCAUCUCACCGACUUCUCUCCCCGUGAUGCGACUGAUAAGCCACAACAGAAAAUGUUGUUUGCUGAUUUAUUGUGAGAGAAAAAUAUUGUUGAAUGGCUGGCAGAUUAGGCUGAUAAGCUCAAGCGACAUGUGUUUCUCCGCGCCAUAUCUUCCCUAUACAAAUUAGAUAUCAAGGUUCGUGACUUUUUUUUGAGGAUCCAUAAAAUAGUAUUUCAUUAAAAUUGAAAAGGGGUUAGCCAUCGUGGUGUCAAGAAAUAUGACCGAUACAUCUCUCAGUUCCACAUAUAAGCUCUUUUUGAGGGUUGCAUUGGUAUAUAUAAACAAGUAAGAGAUUUGCACUAAUAUAUGCGGACAAUAUGAGAAAAAUUAAUUUUCAUUAUUAAUUGGAUGACAAAUUGUUGUUUUGAUUUACAAUUUUAUUAGUUAGGCCAUCAGCUGAUUCGUUUAUAAUUAAUAAUAACUCUCAUUUCUAAUUAAAACUAUGUCAACCUAAUGAAAAAAUAUUUAUUAUUAGGUAGCCGUAAUAUUGUACUCUAUUUAUUUUUAUAUUUAUAACUAAAAGCAGACUGAAUUACUUCAUCAGAAAAGAAAGGUAAAACAAAAAAGGAUCAUGGAAAGGGCAGCACGGGAUAGAAAAGUCACGGGACACCAUGUGUUGAGGUGUUAAGUUACACACGCGACAUAUAAACAUGACUAUUUUAUUGUGCCUUAUUUUAAUUUUCUUGUCUAAUAAAUUUUCUGCAAAUUUCUUGCUCAUCUUUCUAAAAUAAACAUAAAAAUAUUAAUUCCUAGAGUUUUAAUAUUAGACUGACAGAAAAAAGAAGCUAUUAUAAAUGGACCGUUGAGAAAGGUGCAUUUUUUUCCCUCACAAGGAAAAGUUAGAUGUAAAUUAUCAGCUCUUCGAUCUUAGCCUCUGCGACUAGCUAGGCAGCCUCAAGGUCACCCUCGUGGGCACCCCGCUGGCGAACCUGUUGCCCGAAAGCAAAGCAGGUGGCCCUGGUCGACGCUGACCACUGAGAUGCCGGUGGGCUAGCACAUUGGUGAUGAGCGAUUGACAACACGGUGUGCGUGUGACGUGUCUCUUGGCAGGCUGUAGUUGCAGGUGACAGGUGGAGACAAGGUACAUGCGGCGACGAGUGAAGAACGAGGAUAGGAUGUCGUGCCGAAGAACCGCUGGGGCGGAGAAGGAUGGAUCGAGGCUUGCGUUUGAGGGACAUGCGAUCGUGCGGUGUACGUCUACUGUACCUGGCUACACGGCGGGAGGACGUCGAGGGAGGUUUCCGGAUUACGCCACAAAAUCCGGGGUUCGCUGGUUGAGCCACAAAGCCAUGCAUCGUACCGGGACGCUCGUGCGGCGGGCGUUGGCCGAAGAUGGAAAUUCCGACGAUCGCGAUAUGAUUUCGGAUGGUCAUGCGGUGACAUCGCGAGGAUCACAUCGCGGACAUGGAGGGAUCGCGGACAUCGCGGAAUUUACCAUGGAAGAUUAGACGUAAUUAGAAUUUACGCUCCUACGUUAAAUUUAUUUAGCGUAGGGGGGUUAUGUGUAAAAGGUAGAGCCACCCUUGGGGUUAUAAAUAUAUGGCACCUAGGGUUGAGAGGGUUUGGGGCCUUUUUGCUACAGUACUGCGGUUACUAUUCACGGGCGUAAAUAGUAACGGCGCUGCUACAGUAACAUGGAACCACCUUUCUCCCCUUUUGUCUAGCCUAGUGUUUCAAAUCAUAGCGAGAGAUUUUUAGUUGAUCUCUCCAAUCAAGAGACGGAGGACGAUCGGGCGGAGGCUAGAUGCAAUUUUGUAGAACAAUCACUUGAUUUAAUCAUUUAUUUUUGAGUUGUUCGUUUGCAUCUCGUUGAUCCGAUCUGCAAGGUUGUCGCAGCCGCGUUGCUGGUUGAAUUCCACGCGGGGGACAGAACGGAAUAACCGGCCUACACAGCCCUUCAUCCGCUGCAGCAGCAGGGACUGCACUAGGAGUGCUACCGUUGGUCUCUACUGCAGUUCACCAGGCGUACCAGUCAGAACGCAGGGUCAAGGUGCUGAAAAGGAUCUGCUGCCGGCCAACUAUUGUGAUCCACGACACACCAAGAGCAAGUAAUCCAUUUUAAUUUUCAUCAGGUGUCACUUUCAGCAAAUAGUAUUCAAUCAUUAGCAUCGUGACUGCUUACUUGUUUAUUUAUUUCACUUAUUUGUCUCUGUCACUAGUUAUAUUUAAUGACUCUGGUUGGUUAAUUGGUCCUAUUUAUUAAUUAGUUUAUACGCAUGGUCAGCCGAGAUUAUUUGUGUUAAUUAUUUAAUUAAACACCAAUACAUAUCAUUUGUGUUCUACUUCCUUAUUUUAUAGUUAAUUAUUUCCGCUGCUUGUUUAGGGUGAUAUUUGGUUUUGCUUGCAUCGAGAAAUUUUAUUGGGCUCCCAUUCACCCCCUCCCCCUCUGGUCGCCGUUUCGGUCCUACAAUUGGUAUCAGAGCCGGUUUAGGUUUUCUAUACCUUAAUCGGUGCUAAAAACUAUGGCGACCAAUGAAAAGUUUGAUGUUCGUGCUCCGUUUUUUGAUGGGACUGAUUAUGAUUACUGGAAGGCACGUAUGACCAAUUAUCUCAAAGGCAAGUCGUUGAAGCUUUGGAAAAUCACACAAAAUGCCACAUAUGUGAUUCCGGCUGAGGAACCGACUGACGCCGCUGAGAUCGGGCUUCUUGAAACAAAUCAUCGUGUUGUUGCUAUUUUACAAGCAUCUAUUUGUAAAACUGAAUAUGAUCGGGUUUCUAGUGAAGAUCUCGCUUAUCAGAUCUAGGAAAAACUUAGAAAAUAUCAUGAAGGUUCAAACACUGUGAAAAAUCGAAAAUUUGAGAUUCACCGAAAAGAGUUUGAUGCUUUUUGCCAAUUGCCUAGUGAGUCUAUUGAUGACAUGUUUGCACGUUUUCAAGUGAUCGUUAAUAAGAUGAAAGCAAUGAAUAGUGAUAUGCCUUAUGAUGAUCAUGCUAGGGCCCUCAGAUUAUACAUUCACUUAACGAUGAAUGGGAUAUGAAAGUUGAGGCGACUGUUGAAUCUGCAGGUUAUGAGACUCUCACCACUGAUGAGCUUUACAGUAAACUCAAAUCAAAAGAGAUCGAAAUUGUUUCUAAACGCAAAUUGAAAAAUCCCACAGCUUCUUCUUCUUCUGAUGUUCCAAUGGCUUUGAUUUCUGGAAAUAAGACUAACUCUAACGCUAAUCCAAAUGUUUCUAGUUUUGCUUUGUCUUCCUUGUGCCAUGUUGCAGAUGAGGAGUUGGAAGUGCUAGAUGAUGAUCAGCUUGUAUUGCUCUCCAACAAGUUCAAGCGUGUGUAUGACAACAGGCGAAAUAGAAGACGUUCAGAUGGCUGCUACAACUGUGGUGAGCGAGGACACUUUGCUGCUGAUUGCCCUAACAAGAUGAAGUCCUCCGAGCAGGGAAACAGUUCCUCUAGGCGCCAGGAGCAGUUCAGAGAGAAGAAGAAGAAGAAGAAGAAGAAGAAGAAGGAAAAGCAAUGGAAGAAAGGCGGACAAAAAUACUCUGAUAAGCAAGUCGCCAAGGCUGCACAUGUUUUGUUAUCCUCUUUUGAAAAUUAUGUUUCAGAUGGCUCGUCAGACUCCAGUGAUUCAUACUCCGAGGAUGAGACACCCAAGAAGAAGACCGAUGGACUUUGCUUCAUCACUGACGCCGACAACAAUGGUGGGAUAUGUACUAUGGCCUUGGAGGACGAUGUAGAAGCUGACAACAACGACGAAACUUCUGAUGAUGAGGUAGAUACUACUACAGAACAAAGAAUUACUGAUUUAACUAAAAUUGUUCAUAAGCAAAAUAAAGUGUUGGCUAAACUUAAAGCUGAUUAUGAUAAAACUUGUGCUGAAUUAGCUACUCUAAAAAAUGCUACAUCUACUCCUGUUGAACCUGGUGAAUGUGAAGAAUGCUCAAUUCAUAUGAUUUCGCUUUCUGAAUUGCAAACCAAGUAUGCUUCCAUUGUUGAUGAUCAAGAUAAACUUAAUGUUGAAUUAAAUGAACUUCGUUCUCGGUCGAAUUUGCUUGGUGCUUGUGUUUCAUGCCCGCUUUUGAAAGUUGACUUGGAUAAUGCUUUAUGUCGGGUAAAAAAUCUUGAAAAACAUACUUGUCCAGUUCUUCCUCCAUGCUUAACUUGUCCUAAUUUUGUUGCUGAAAAUAAUGAUUUAAGGGCUAAACUUGACAAUUUGGAAGAAGAAAAUAAGCAUUUGAGAACUAUUCUUGGUUGGUGUUCUAUUCGUGAGCCCCAAAUUGGUAUGUCUAUUGCUCAAAUUAAACGGGGUGAGCGUUUUGGUCCCGGUUAUGAUUUGAAACAUGUUUUUGGUGAAAAAAGUGGACCACCUGUUGAUGACAAGAAUCCACCUUUGGCUAAAUAUACUGGACCACCUCCUAGGAAGGGUUCAAGUGUCACCUCUGAUGGGUUGCUGGUUGAGACAUCUAGAUCUGCUCCUAAAAGGCAGGUUUGGGUGCCUAAGCCAAAAUACUUCGAGUGUGUACAAAAUGCUAAGCCAAGUGGUUUCUCUUGUGAUAAUUCUGCUAAGCAUAUUUUUGUUGCUUCUGGUUCUAAUGCUAAAGCCUCCUUCGCGCCAGCACAUAAACUAUACCAUUGUGAUUUUUGUGAUCGUGACGGUCAUCUUUAUGAGUUUUGUUUUCGAAGGAUGCGUGCUGAACGACGUGAGCAGUACCCCGCACGUGGUACUCAUGAUCGUCGUGUUUUUAGACGUGAGCAGUACCCUGUACGUGGUACUCAUGAUCGUCCUAUUUUGAGACGUGAGCCAGCUGGUUGUUCUUCUGGUUUUCGCUCGCGUACUCAUGCUUCUGCACCACGCAGGAAUGACAGGCCAUGUUUUCCCCUUUCUGGUCCUCGUUGUUCUUUUGAGAGCUUUGAUUUUGCUAAUGCUUCUUUUGAGCAAAUGGCUCAGCAGUGGUUUUCAUUGCAUUAUCCUAAACCCAGUGUUGAGUCAUUAGCUCAUUCUCGCUCUCGGUGUUGACUGCAGGUCAGAGGCGAGGAGGACAUAUGGAUAAUGGACUCCGGUUGUUCGCGCCACAUGACCGGAGAUGACAAAUGGUUCUCCAGCCUCACCUCCACGAGCAUAAAGGAAAAUAUCACUUUCGGGGAUAGAAGUCAAGGCAAGGUAAUGGCGCAUGGCUGCAUCAAGGUAACAGAUAAAUACACGUUAAAGGACGUCGCAUUGGUAAAGAAUUUGCAUUAUAAUUUGCUUUCUGUUUCGCAACUUCUUGAGGAUGAUUUUGAGGUGCGUUUUAAGAAAGGAAAUUCGCGUGUUCUUGAUUCUACUGGUAACCUCGUUUGCAAGAUUUCUCCUUUUAGACGAAUCUUUAAAGCUGAUUUUUCCAGAUCUUUUGGUAAAACUCGCUGUUUAGUUGCUCAUGGUUCUCCCUUGAUUUGGAAGUGGCAUCGUCGGUUGGGCCACUUGAGCUUUGAUUUGCUCUGUCGCUUGAGUUCAUUGGAUUUAAUUGAUGGUUUACCGAAACUCAAGUUUGAAAAGGAUUUGAUUUGUGCUCCCUGCAAACAUGGAAAAAUGGUUGCUGCUUCUCAUGCACCUGUGACUCAGGUGAUGACGAGACGACCGGGCGAACUGUUACAUAUGGACACUGUUGGUCCAGCCCGUGUUCGGUCUGCUGGUGGGAAGUGGUAUGUGCUUGUUGUUGUGGACGAUUUUUCUCGAUUUUCAUGGGUGUUCUUCUUGGAAUCUAAGGAUGAAGCUUUUUCACGUGUUCAUGAUCUUGUUCUGAAACUGAAAAAUGAGUUGUCAAUUAAUGCCGUUAGAGCAAUUCGCAGUGACAAUGGUACUGAAUUCAAGAAUUCCCGUAUGAAAGCUUUUUGUUCAGAACAGGGUUUAGAUCAUCAGUUUUCCUCUCCUUAUGUUCCUCCCCAGAACGGUGUUGUUGAACGUAAAAACCGUACACUUGUUGAGAUGGCUAGGACAAUGCUUGAUGAACAUAAAACUCCUAGACGUUUCUGGGCUGAGGCUAUCAACACCGCCUGCUAUGUUGCUAAUCGCAUUUUUCUGAGAGCUUUUCUAGGAAAAACAUCUUAUGAGUUGAGAUUUGGUCGGCCUCCCAAAGUUUCCCACUUUCGAGUCUUUGGCUGCAAGUGUUUUAUAUUGAAAAAGGGAAAUUUGGAUAAAUUUGAAUCGCGCUCUUCUGAUGGGUUAUUUUUGGGGUAUGCCUUGCAAGGGCGAGCGUACCGUGUGCUUAAUCUUGCUACUAACCGCAUCGAGGAGACAUGUGAGGUCACCUUCGACGAGACAAUACCUUGUUUCUCUUCAGUUUUUGAGUGUGCAGGUGAUGAUGAGAUUGGGCAGAAUAUUUUUGAGGAAGAGAAAGAGGAAUAUGGAUGUGAUGACGACGAUGAUGAUGCCCAGCCUGUAGCGCAGGAGGAGCCUGACGCGCAGGCUGAGCAGGGAGCCCUCCACUUCUUUGGAAGAUGGACCAUCGCCGACACGUACAUCCACAGCAGAGCCCGCAGCUUCACCGACUGUUGAUCAUGUACCGGCUGCAGUUGAGGGGAGGUGAUUUCAGAACGUACAGCACCACGACACAUUCAGGAUCGUCAUCCUCCCAAGAACAUAAUAGGUAAUUUGGAUGAGCGCACAACAAGGAACAGAGGUAUGAAAAAUAAAAAUUACUGUGUCUUUGCGCAUACUGCUUUUGUUGCUUCUUUUGAACCCCGAGAUGUUGGACAUGCUUUAUCUGAUUCUAAUUGGGUCAAUGCCAUGCAUGAGGAGUUAGAAAAUUUUGAACGGAAUCAGGUUUGGGUUUUGGUUGAUCCUCCACCUUCUUGUAAACCAAUUGGAACUAAAUGGGUUUUUAAGAACAAACAAGGGGAAGAUGGUCAUGUUGUUAGGAAUAAAGCUAGGCUGGUUGCUCAGGGUUUUUGUCAAAAAGAGGGUAUUGAUUAUGGUGAAACUUUUGCUCCUGUUGCUCGCUUAGAAGCCAUUCGUAUUUUGCUUGCAUUUGCUGCUUCAUGUGGUUAUAAGCUUUAUCAAAUGGACGUGAAGAGUGCCUUUCUGAAUGGGUUUAUAGAAGAAGAAGUUUAUGUUAAACAACCGCCUGGUUUUGAGCAUCCCAUUUUUCCUGAUCGUGUUUUUAAGUUGCAAAAGGCUUUAUAUGGUUUGAAGCAAGCACCUCGUGCUUGGUAUGCUAGAUUGAAAAAUUUUCUGCUUAAAAACGGGUUCAAAAUGGGUUCUGUCGAUAAAACCCUUUUUCUCCUUAGGCAAGGCAAUGACACUUUAAUAGUUCAGAUUUACGUGGAUGAUAUCAUUUUCGGUGGUUCCUCUCAUGCUCUUGUGAAAAAGUUUGCAGAUGUGAUGAGCAAAGAAUUUGAAAUGUCUAUGAUGGGCGAGCUGAAUUUCUUUCUUGGCUUACAAAUAAAACAAACUUCGGAAGGUACAUUUGUGCAUCAAGGAAAGUACACGAAGGAUGUCUUGAAGAAGUUUGCGAUGGAUGAUGCGAAGCCAAUUUCUACGCCCAUGCCGACUAGCGCAGCUUUGGAUGCUGAUUAGGAUGGAGAGCCCAUGGAUCAAAAGGAAUAUCGAAGCAUGAUUGGGUCGCUGUUAUACUUGACUGCUACGAGGCCAGAUAUACACUUUGCUGUGUGUAUGUGUGCUCGUUUUCAGGCGUCCCCCAGGUUUUCUCACCGUCAGGCGGUGAAACGCAUAAUGAGGUAUCUUCGAUUUACUCCUGAAUUUGGUCUUUGGUACUCUACUGCUUCGACUCUUAGUUUGUGUGGUUAUUCGGACGCUGAUUUUGCUGGGUGUCGUUUGGAUAGAAAGUCUACAUCGGGUACUUGCCAAUUUUUGGGUUCUUCGCUUGUCUCUUGGUCCUCUAGAAAACAAUCUAAUGUUGCUCAAUCUACUACGGAGGCUGAAUAUGUUGCUGCUGCUAGUUGUUGUUCUCAGCUUUUAUGGAUGAUAGCUACCCUUCGUGAUUUUGGUUUGUCGUUUUCUCACGUUCCUCUCUUGUGUGACAGCACCAGUGCUAUAAGUGUUGCAAAGAAUCCUGUACUUCAUUCUAAGACGAAACACAUUGAGGUUCAUCAUCAUUUUCUUAGGGAUCAUGUUGAGAAGGGUGAUAUUGAGCUUAAAUACAUUGAUACUAGUCAGCAAAUUGCUGAUAUUCUAACUAAACCACUCGAUCAAACCACGUUUGCACGUUUGCGUGGUGAGUUUGGGGUGUGUUACCCAUUCUAGUAUCAUUAUAAAUUGCUUCCGUUACAUAUGUUUUAUACUUGUUUUGGCUAAUCUGCGACCGAUGCUUUUGAAGAGGUUUAAAUGCUUUGCUUGACCAAUUUAUGUUUUGAAAACAGUACAUACAUAUACUUAAAAAUUUAUGUUGGGCUAUGCCUGCUUCUCUGGAUUUAGUGACUUGUUGAUUACUUGACAUAUAUCUUGCUCAUGGUUUGGUUGUCAGCUUCUUUUAAUGGUUUUUCACUGCAAAUGUAACUCACAAUGCAAGUUUUAACUCGGGAAUGGAUAGUAUGGUUGUGAGCAAAAACUCUGAAUUCCCAUAUCUCUGCUAUUUCGCUCACGAUCUGCUUGCUUACUGAGAAUUUAAAUAUGGGCACAACUCUGAUUUCCCCAUGUCCCUGCUGGUUCUCGCUCAUAAUCAAAGUUAAACAAAACUGGCUGGGCACAACUCUUGCUUCUCAUAUCCCUGCUUGUCAUGCUCGCAAAAGCCAGAAUAAAAUAUGACAAGUGAAUGCAUUUGUGGGCGUUGCAGUGAACUUUGAUCGAAGCUGCGUAUCCGUCGUGUGAGCUUGCUGUAUGUUUUGUCUUCAGCCUGGCACUGAUUUUGGAAUAUGCAUGUUUUUGCUUGGCUAAUUGAUUUUUCAAGCAGAUUUAAGUUCUAAAAUUCUAAUGGUCAUAGCAUUGUGAUGCUCCCUCUCUGAGUCGCUAGUGUUGCUAGUUAGCUUUUAUAAGUAUUUGGCAUAUGUCUCGGAAGCUUCUACUUGCGCUCUCUCACAUGUUUUUCUCUAAAUUGGUUCUUUGCAUUUAUCUCGAUGGAGUGCUUUGUCAACAAGGGGGAGAGUGAGUAGCGCACAAAUUCAUUUUGCAGGGGGAGUUUGAUUUCGUUUUUUCGUUUUUGCUGAGACUUGACAUGCUUGUUUUGAGGGGGAGUUUUGCUGAAUUUUGAUUCACUUUGGAGAAAGUUUUUUUUUCUUGAUCGUGUCGAGCCUAGCUAUUUUUGCUAGCCCAUGUCUUUGGGGAUCAAGAUUUUUUUUCUCUUAUGUUCGAAUAAAUCUGUGCGGUGUGGUGUUGUCAAUGCACUCAUCAAGGGGGAGAUUGAGAUGCCGGUGGGCUAGCACCUUGGUGAUGAGCGAUUGACAACACGGUGUGCGUGUGACGUGUCUCUUGGCAGGCUGUGGUUGCAGGUGACAGGUGGAGACAAGGUACAUGCGGCAACGAGUGAAGAACGAGGAUAGGAUGUCGUGCCGAAGAACCGCUGGGGCGGAGAAGGAUGGAUCGAGGCUUGCGUUUGAGGGACAUGCGAUCGUGCGGUGUACGUCUACAGUACCUGGCUACACGGCGGGAGGACGUCGAGGGAGGUUUCCGGAUUACGCCACAAAAUCCGGGGUUCGCUGGUUGAGCCACAAAGCCAUGCAUCGUACCGGGGCGCUCGUGCGGCGGGCGUUGGCCGAAGAUGGAAAUUCCGGCGAUCGCGAUACGAUUUCGGAUGGUCAUGCGGUGACAUCGCGAGGAUCACAUCGCGGAGAUGGAGGGAUCGCGGACAUCGCGAAAUUUACCAUGGAAGAUUAGACGUAAUUAGAAUUUACGCUCCUACGUUAAAUUUAUUUAGCGUAGGGGGUUAUGUGUAAAAGGUAGAGCCAACCUUGGGGUUAUAAAUAUGUGGCACCUAGGGUUGAGAGGGUUUGGGGCCUUUUUGCUACAGUGCCGCGGUUACUAUUCACGGGCGUAAAUAGUAACGGUGCUGCUACAGUAACAGAGAACCACCUUUCUCCCCUUUUGUCUAGCCUAGGGUUUCAAAUCAUAGCGAGAGAUUUUUAGUUGAUCUCUCCAAUCAAGAGACGGAGGACGAUCGGGCGGAGGCUAGAUGCAAUUUUGUAGAACAAUCACUUGAUUUAAUCAUUUAUUUUUGAGUUGUUCGUUUGCAUCUCGUUGAUCCGAUCUGCAAGGUUGUCGCAGCCGCGUUGCUGGUUGAAUUCCACGCGGGGGACAGAACGGAAUAACCGGCCUACACAGCCCUUCAUCCGCUGCAGCAGCAGGGACUGCACUAGGAGUGCUACCGUUGGUCUCUAUUGCAGUUCACCAGGCGUACCAGUCAGAACGCAGGGUCAAGGUGCUGAAAAGGAUCUGUUGCCGGCCAACUAUUGUGAUCCACGACACACCAAGAGCAAGUAAUCCAUUUUAAUUUUCAUCAUGUGUCACUUUCAGCAAAUAGUGUUCAAUCAUUAGCAUCGUGACUGCUUACUUGUUUAUUUAUUUCACUUAUUUGUCUCUGUCACUAGUUAUAUUUAAUUAUUCUGGUUGGUUAAUUGGUCUAGCUUAUUAAUUAGUUUAUAUGCAUGGUCAGCCGAGAUUAUUUGUGUUAAUUAUUUAAUUAAACACCAAUACAUAUCAUUUGUGUUUUACUUCCUUAUUUUAUAGUUAAUUAUUUCCGCUGCUUGUUUAGGGUGAUAUUUGGUUUUGCUUGUAUCGAGAAAUUUUAUUGGGCUCCCAUUCACCCACCUCUGGUCGCCGUUUCAGUCCUACAGCCACCACCUUGCCUUUGUUGACGAGCGCCGCUGCCUUUUCGUGGCUCACCAUCACCAGCAGGCAGCAGCUUCGACGUCCGGCUGCCGAGGACCAUGAGUCCAUAAACAAUAGCCACGAUGACGUUGUGCCUCCGCUUCUCAUCACUGGCCGCGGUGCCCGAUAAGAGACUUGACCGUGCACUUGGUCGGGCACGUGGCAUGGCAUCGACCAGCCCCCGAACGGCACGUUCAUCUCAUCGUCAUCGACAUAUCAACGUAGAGCACGGCCAAUCUCAGUCCGGAGCAUGUGGCACUAAACUUGGCCAAACGGGCGGCACGAUCCUAGCACCAUACCGUGCCGUCUCGGGUCAUCGUACCAAACUUUCGGCCUAGACACGACACUAUGGCUUCUUAGCCGUACCGUGACGUGCCGAUAGGCACGGUGGCUCAUCGUGCCUGUGGCGACAUGUGGUUUUGGAAGGAGUUGAGAAGUUUGUCGGGCCCUGCUUCAAGGAGAAGACAGACGCCACCGUUGUUGUAUAGCCAUGCAGGAGAUUCAAUGGUCAUGAUCUAUCCUCAGAGCAUGAGACAGUGGAAAUAAUCGGGCCGGAGUCUUGCCAACCUAUUAGCCGUGUCAGCACUGCGGGCCGAAGUUGCAGCCCAGGCACUACACUACCACCGAACCGUGCCGUGCGCCCGUGCCUGGACCGUGUUUUUUAGUGUCAUGCUUGUACUGGCCCAUCGUGUUAGUGUCACAUGUGGCACUGGUAAAUAAGGAGGACUGUACAUAGUGUCCGUACACAGUGGUGGAACCAGGGGAGCUAGCAGAAGCAGUGGCCCCCCAAGCUCAGUCAAUUCUUUAAAUACCUAUGUAACUAUUAAUAUUUAUAGUAUAAGAAAUAUCAAUUUUAUCUAUUUUUUUAAGGGAACAUAUCUGGUGCAAACCACAACCUCCGUGAAAACCUGUGCAAACCAUGACAAAAAAGUCAUCUAAAUUCACCAAAAAAAUCACACAUGUAGAUGAUAUGAUGAUACACAACCCUGUAAAAUAUCUUAUCCAAACUCGAAUUCAUUUGUGAGAUAUAAAAAUAACAAAUUUCAAGCCAGAAAAGUGUCCACAGAAUUUGCUAGAAAUUUGUUAUUUUUAUAUCUCACAAAUGAAUUCGAGUUUGGAUAAGAUAUUUUACAGGGUUGUGUAUCAUCAUAUCAUCUACAUGUGUGAUUUUUUUGGUGAAUUUAGAUGACUUUUUUGUCAUGGUUUGCACAGGUUUUCACGGAGGUUGUGGUUUGCACUAGAUAUGUUCCCUUUUUUUAAAUAUGAUGAUUUUGGUAAGAAAUAAUGUAAUAUUUUUUAAAAAGUUCUUCAAACAUAUAAUUAUAUAUAUUUUAUUACAUUAAAAAAUAUAGUCAUAUUUGUUCGGUCUCUCUUAAUCAAACUCGCUGAUUCCGCCACUGCCCGUACACAUCUCUUAACAUCUGGAUUUCAUUUUCAAACAUUGAUGAAAACAAAAUUAUUUAUUGCAACAAUUCGUGUCUUCUCCUUAAGCUCCCCAAGAAACAAAAGAAUUAAUGAGAUCGAUCAAUAAUGUUACGGUACAGCUGCGCUGAACAACGUCAGUCCCUGGACUCCUGUUGUUGAUGAUUGCUACCAGUGCCAGUUGUUUAGUGGCCGCCCUUGGUCAUCCCGCACCCCGUGAUCUCUUUCGGCAGCUGAGCGACGCGCUCGACGCCUUCCUCGAAGACGAUGCCCAUUCCCAUGAAGAAAUGAGACUCGAUGUGGCAAUGGAACGCCCACACGCCGGGGUUGUCAGCCUUGAACCGCAGCGCCGUCCACCCAUACGGAUGCACCGCCACCGUGUUCUUCAGUAUCGGGUCCUUGAGGUUGUACGCCGCCGGGUGCACCGCCGGGUCGAAGCGGCCGAUGCCAUAGCCGAGCACCCAGAAGUCAUGCCCGUGCAGGUGCCACGGGUGCGUCUCGCUCUUGUUGGCCGCCAGCAUGUUGGCGUUCUGCAGCACGACGUCGACGACGGAUCCGAACUGCAGCCGGUACAGCCCGUCGCUGACCGUCGCGUUCGGGUUCCGCUGGACGGCGUAGAUGUCGUACCCCUGGUGCGCGUACGUCUCCGGCGGCGGCCGCUGGUCGAAGGCGCCGAGGAGGCCGUUCUUCAUGGCCACCAGGUAGGGCGUGUGCGGCAGCGUGAAGGAGACGUUGUUGAGCGCCCACUUGAUGUGCCCGUCGAUCUUGUUCUGCGUGUUGAGCAGGAGGAUGGUGCGGUCGGCGCGCGGCGGCGGGGGCUGGACGUGCGCCGGGUGCGCCACCGUCGCCACGCUCUGCCGGAACCGGUACGUGGUGUCGUUCCAGGCCGGACCCGUGGGAGGUGUGGUCGGCGGCGCCUUCCGCGGGCUGCUGCGGCCGCCGUAGUAGCUGAGGACGGCGGUGCCGGUGGGGGUGCCGGGCUCGCGGCUGACGACGUUGGAGGCGAGCCAGUAGUUGCGGUUGGGGUCCUGGUCGGCCUUGAUGAGCACGGAGUAGGUCUCGCCGGAGUAGAUGUUGAGGUUCUUCACCACGAACGGCUUCACGUAGUGCCCGUCGGCCUCCACCACCGUCAUUUCGUGGCCCUGAAAGCAUGGUGCAAUCCGUGGAUCAUUAUUCACAUUCUCAUGUUGUAAACUCUUUGGUAACGGUGAUCGUUACGCUUUCUAAUAAAGCUGGGUGAACGCCUUUGGUCUAAAAAACUCUUUGGUAACUAUUGUAUACGUAUAUAUGAUUUACAAACUCAAAAAUUGACAGAGAUGCAUUCCAUUAGUUAUUGGCAUCGCCUUGCAAAAUGACUCUACAAUCUAGUACAUGCGUCUGAAAGGUCGAUGUUCAAAGCCCGGGAAACUAAGCGAAACAUUGACUGAAUAAACAAGAAAUAUUUUGUCGUGCAGCUGAGCAGGUACCUAGCUCCAUUUCGUUUAGGCCUGUUUUAGUUCCGAAAAAAUUUCAGAUUUCGAUAUUGUAGCAUUUUCGUUUUUAUUUGACAAAAAUUAUUUAAUUAUAAAUUAACUAGACUCAAAAAAUUUAUCUCGUGAUUUACAGACAAACUGUAUAAUUAGUUUUUAUUUUUAUCUAUAUCUAAUGCUUCAUGUAUGUGCCUCAAGAUUUUAUGUGAUAGAAAAUCUUAAAAAGUUUUUCGUUUUUUUGGUGAACUAAACCUUACUCCUUCGUCGCGGUUCAUGAGUAUGUAGGAGUACAUACUUGCAGCUUGCAGAGCAUACAUGUGUUUGGUUGAUGGCCACUGGCCCCACCACACGUCACAGCUUGUGACCCGCUACGUACGAGAAUCUAUAGGCGAUUAUUUGGAACUUGUUUAGUUCCAAAAUAUUUUGUAAAAUGGACACUGUAGCUCUUUCGUUUGUAUUUGACAAAUAUUGUCCAAUCAUGGACUAACUAGGCUCAAAAGAUUUGUCUCGUCAAUUCCGACCAAACUGUGUAAUUAGUUUUUAUUUUUAUCUAUAUUUAGUACUUCAUGCAUGUGUCUAAAGAUUCGAUGUGACGGGAAAUCUGAAAAAUUUUACAAAAUUUUUUGGGAACUAAACAAGGCCUUGGUUGGUGAUUCAAACGAGACUGCCAGACUUUUUUUUUUACAGAACAAACCUCGCCACAGAUUGUGGCGACGCCACUGUGACACCUCGCCGCACUUCAGGCGUGGUUAUCCGUGGCCGCGAUCCAAACAGCUAUACUGCCAUUUGCAGAGUUGUUAAUGACGGUUUGUAUAUAUUGGAUGCACGCAGUGGUUGUACAAUAUGAGGAAAGCAAUGACGACGACGGACUUAGAACUUGUUGGAUUAUUGACUUGGUCUCUCGCGUUUGCUUGCUACAGGUCAUUGCCACUUUGGUACACCAACUAAACUGUGGUUAAUAUAUAAUAACCAAAUGCAUGCAUCAGAGAGGUGCAGAUAGAAGCAGAAUGGCCAAACAUAGGGUGUUCAUAUUACCUAGCUGCGUUUGUCUUGUCUCGCCGCUAAGGCAAUGUGGUGUGCCCGAUCUGAUCUGCCUUAGGCGCGUUGCAGCUUGCGUGGCAACGUCUCAUCCUAACUUUUUAUAUAUAGAAGUAUACUAUACUAUACAUGCAGUGCUAUAUAGCGAGCAAACAGUAUAUAGUGUCCUGUACGAGGCAAAAGAACGAUAUAUAAUAGGUGCACGCAGGCAUAUUCCCUGUACUUUGUUUGCUCUACCAAACUACGGAUCCAAACAUACGUGUAUAGAGUAUAUAUUACGCCCGCCAGGACCAGGAGAACGGCACAGUCUUACUUGGAUGCGCGGUUAACGGCUAGAGUUGCACACAUGCACGCCUCGCCUUUUCGUCUACGGGGAAGAUAAAACAAACUUACUGUACACGCGUAGCAUGCAGCAGCCGGCCGGCUUGCGUGCGGCUUGCCCGAGGCACGACAUUUGCCUUGGAUUGUGGCGCGAAAUUGCAACAGAUUAUUGUUGUCGCCACCAACCGCUUUGGAAAAAUGUGCACUACGUAUAUGUACUCGAUCCACACCGGCUGUGUCCGGCCGUGCGUGCAUCCAGCAGCAGCACCACCUCCGGUGGCCGCCGCCGGUCCAUCACCUACCGUCAAUUUGACGCGGCCGGCCGGCCGGCGGCGUCAUUAGCGAAUAAAACUGCCCACGUUGCACGCGCUACCCGGCGAUUAUUCUGCGACAGCAAGGUACGUAGCACAUGGCGCCGCGGUAUAUGCUUUUGACUGCAAUAUCGUAGGGCCACAUGCAAUGCUGUCGCUAGCUACGCUACCGAUCCGGGAUUUGGCAGUCCAAAACUAUUAAUAUUUAUUAUUUGGUUUUAUUACAGUUUAUAAAUUAUAUAAAGUUUAGCCAAAGUAUGGGAAAAAUAUUUAUAUUAUUAAAUAAUCUCGCAACAUUUGUUAUUUGUUAUAGAAUUUAUUUUUAUAUAAUAUACUUAAUUUGGUAUCCUAAACGUUGCAAUAUGUCUCUACAAAUUUCCUAAACGAGAGGGUAGUAGUUACUCCUAUGUUUAAUCUCACAACUUUUUUUAUUUGUUAUAUAUAUAAUAUACUUAAUUUGGUAUCAUAAAUGUUGUAAAAUGUCUCUCGAAAGUUCCUAAACGAGAGGGUAGUAGUUAUGUCUCGUGCCUCUAGUUUGGGUCAAAUCGAAUCAUGGAGUAAUUUCCCGCUGAAAUCUUAUAUUCAAUUCAAACUUGAUUCACAUACACCGUCGUUUCAGGGCACUAUCCAUCUACUAUUGUUAAUUAUUAUUAUUGACAUAUGUAGAGUUCAUCUAGCUCUAUGGGCUUGCUUUUUUUUAUGUAACUUGUACGGGCAUGUUUGCCUAAUGAAGUUAUCUAGCCUAGACAGCUCCAUAUAUACAAAACUAUAUAUGCAACCAAAAUCGGACGCCUGAGAUUGUUCCUUAUGCUUAACAACUUUCUCAUAAUCUGAACAAAAAAAAGCACUACAUGACGUAUUGAUGGAGUUACAGAUGAAAUAUGCACAUAAUAAAUAGUCGUAUACUCGUAUGAUCAAUGGAUGAUAUGGUUCCUUAUUUCGCAUCCUAUUUGUGUGCUGGCAAGUUGACAAUGGCUGUCUAUACAUAUAUCACUCUGUCACUGACGCGGUCCACGCCUAUCCAAAGUGGUGCGCGUCAUCUAAGUUUUUAUUCUUUGCUUCAUCCAAAUGGUGGUGUGUAUUGUCAACUUUUUAUAACAGUAUUGUCAAUAAUUAUUGUGACUGAUGAUUUCACAUUUUACCAUAUAUGCAUGUCGCUGAUAAUUAAAUUCUGAAUUACCAUAGUAUAUAUAUAUAUAUAUAUAUGCUAACUUUUACCAAACAUGGUUGUCAUCAUUUUCUUCAGUUUGACUAAUAAGAUGUUUUAGAUCUCGACACCUGCUUUCUUAACUGUUAACAAGUUGAAAUAUUACAUAAAAAAAAAUACGAUGCCGGGAAACAAAUAAAGCGACAAUGAGAGAAAUCAAACGUGCUUACCUCGAUCUCAAAGUUGAGCGCGGACAGCGACGUGACGCUGGCAAUGCGGAACCUGUAGGUCUUGCCAGGCACGACGGCGAACACCGGCGCGGCGCACUCCGGGAGGGUGGCGUUGCAGGUCAUCCCGGCCGCCGCGGCGGCGGAGCAGUUGACGAACCUGCCGCGGCCGUUGAUGAGCAGCGACUGCGGCUCCCCGACCCAUCCGAGCGGCACGGACGCGAGCCCCGUGGCCUGCUCGUAGGUGCUCUUGUGCCACCAGUCGUUGAGGAGCACGUGGUGCUCGCCGUCGUACCGGAACGGCUCGGCGUCCGGCCCGCCGCGCGCCGCCGCCACGACGAUGAGGCCGUUGAGCCCCGCCGAGCGCUGCAUCCCGUAGUGCGCGUGGUACAUGUAGGUGCCCGGGCGGUCGACGACGAAGGUGUAGGUGAAGGUGUCGCCGGGGAGGAUGGGGCACUGCGUGACGCCCUCGGUGCCGUCGGCCCACGGCGUGCCGAUCUGCCGGAUGCCGUGCCAGUGGAUGGCAACGUUCUCGGUGAGCAGGGAGUUCUUCACCCGGACCACCACGGUGUCGCCCUGCGUUGCGCGGAUGGUCGGCCCGGGCGUCUGCCCGUUGAUGGUCACCGCGAGCUUGCGCACGCAGUCGGGGCUCUUGAACUGGUAGCUGAUCUCCCACUCCUGGUGGACAGUGGCGGCGCGCGCGGCCGCUGCCAGCGACAGGGACAGGAAGAGGCAGCAGAGGAGCCAGGGUAGCCGACCCAUGGCCGGAACGAGACUCACCACAGCUGGUUGGAGCUCGAUUUGCGCUCCUUUAGACAGCUACCCCUGUCACCGUCGGCAAGCUAGCUAGCUAGCCGCGUUGGUUGCUGGGGUUUGGAGCGAUCCUUUAGCUCUGGCUGCUACUGGACGCAGCUGCAAUGUACUAUAGCUGCUAUGUGUCAAGGUGCUCCUGUGCUGUGUGCCUGUGUUGCAUAUAUAUACACAUAGUAGUCGCGAGACGAGAUCAAUAUCUUGAACUAUAUUUUAUUGCGUCAAAUAUAUCAAAGGAUCAACGCGCUGCCACCAAACGCCUUUGUCACAUUCUGACUCGGGAUACAGGAACCACACAGGCAAGUACUAGUUCAAUGCUGCUGCUAUAAUGGACAAUAUCUUUAUAUUGAGACAUUCAGGUUCAAAUUGAAAGCCCCUCGAAGGUGAUCACACCCAGACCCAUCAGGGCCGCAUCAACAGAGCUGGGCAGAACUAGGCUCACAUAGAAUUCGUCACCGUACCUUUUAAUCUAUCGAAAAAGGAUUGAGCAAAGCCAGCAUUGUCUCCUCUCUUCUUCAAACAAAGCCAACUUUGAAGUAAUCUCUGUUGGACAAUUCGCACAAAUAUAUAUCUACAUGGCCAAAUUACUGUUUAGACAUGUUUGUAGACGCUGCUGAGUCAUCCGAAUAUACUGUUUCAGUUCAGACUUCCGAAGAGAAAAUUAGUUUAGCAAGCCGUCCCUUCCUUUUACCGUUAGCCAAAAACAAUAAUAAAAAAAGCACAUCGUAGACGCUGCUGAGUCAUCCAAUUAUCACGCUUUACAGCUGGUAAUGACAUAAUCGGGAUUAUUUCAAUGUGCAAUGGAAUUUCUAGCAAAAGCUGGCCAGCUCUGCUAUGGCCCUUUCUGCAGCAAUUCUUUUCAGCUUUCUCAAAACUCAAUUCAUAUUUGUGUUGCCUGUUUUAACAGCUUUUUCGCUGGAUGGACGCGGUUUAGAGAAAAUUCGCAGCUCAGACCAAUCAUCAUAUAAAACAACAGCAAUUCUCUUUACAGCUUUGGCCCCCUUUUUCCCGAUAUGACAGCGAAUCUUAUCAGUUAUUUAUUAUAUUACAACGAUAUACAACUGUUUCUCCCUAGCUAGAUGAAGCCAAUGUAUAUGUAUGCGUGUACACAGAGAUCUCGUAAAUGGUUUCUAUAACGGUUGAACGAUGGUACCUCAUAUGCUUCGGCAAGAAUUCGAUCCCUCUUUCAAUACCUACAUACAGUAUAUAUACCAAUAGCAUGCAGUGGUGUAAAAAUAGAUUUGUUGUCACUGUCUUGAUCAAAGUUACUACAAUACCAGAAAACACUCGUUUAGCCCACGUCUUAAUUACUAGUACCACUCAAGACGUUGAAAUUAAAUUCCUUCAUAAAUGAAUUACAUGAGUAAUAAUAUUGUUUUAUAAAUAGAUUGAGUGCUUAUAGUUAAACUAACGACUGUGAUAUGCCAUAAUGUUUCGUUAAAAUAUAUAAACUUAUAUAAAGUAACACAUUAUAAACCUUAUUAUUGUCUAGACCCGGCAAUGAUAAGUGGUAAAAGAAAGAAAUAUCUGUUUCUUAAUUCAAACUCAAGACCUCGAUGUUCAAAUUCCUCAAGAGCUCAUACAAGCUGAGUUACGCAACUUUUUUUCACUAACACGCCCGUCCCAGAAUGGACGUGUAUUUCAUUGCCGGUCCGCUUCUAUGUGACUUUGGCUGCCGCCGACCACACCCGUCGCCGCUCCUUGCAGUUAGUGGCCGACGAGCCACCGGAAUAAGGAGAUCUCUGCACCUCCUCUGCCCCCUUCGUCUUCCCAUAUGUGUUUUUGGCCUGGUCCCUUUCCCUUGCAAAUGAUAUACUCUUUUCUCCAAAACCAUUUUUUCACUAGGUUUUUCAGAUGUAAUUUUUAACAAGACAUAUGCAUGUUACGAUGAUUGCCCAAAAGUGAGUGGCGUACUUUCAACAACAAAGCUUCAUCCAUUGGUGCGGUGGCUCGUGCAGCUGUGUUGGAGGCAGAUGAGUGGGUACAGGCAGGGUUUUCCUGCAUCUCUGUGCUCGCUACCUACUGGUCGCAAAAUUUGUUUGUUUUGUAAUAAACUUGCUUGGUGUAUCCAGUAGCCAGGGCUAUUGUUUGGUUCUUGGCUCUUGCUAUUGGCCUCUCGCCACUAGCUGAGCGUACCUCUGUAACCGUUCUAAACUCUACUCCCUCUUAAUGAAAUACGGGCCAUAGGCCUUGUUCGUGAAAAAAAACAUUCGAACUCUAAACUGGAAGGAAACGAAAGGAGAAAUUUUAAUCCAAGUUCAUUUUUUAUCGAGCCCUCACCAAGUUGUUAAGCUUUAGUCAUACUAUAUAUUCGUGGGAGUUCUACAUUAUAGUGGUCAAUAUUUAGUGAAAAAAUUAAUAGUUCCACUACUUAGUGCCUCUAUGUUCCUCUGAUUUUAUCUACCAUAUUGAUUAUGAAACAUGGAUAGGGAAAAUCCCAUAACCGGUGAGUGGCGACUUGUUUUAUAGCAGUAGAGAUCAUUGUGUAGUAGUGAGAAAAAACAAUGAACGAAACAGUACUGUCAGAUAAAAAGAAAAUGUUUACUAUAAUUUCUAUACAUGAUAUAACUAACUGUAAAAUCAUCAGUGGCCACCUUUGGUUUUCCCACAUCCCAUGAUCUCCGGCGGGAGAUUAGCGACACGUUGAAUGCCUUCCUCGAAGACGAUUCCCAUUCCCAUGAAGAAAUGGGCCUCGAUGUGGCAAUGGAACGCCCACACUCCAGGGUUAUCCGCCUUGAACCGCACCGCCGUCCAGCCAUAUGGAUGCACCGCCACCGUGUUCUUCAGUAUCGGGUCCUGCAAGUUGUAUGACGCCGGGUGCACCGCCGGGUCGAAGCGGCCGAUGCCAUAGCCGAGCACCCAGAAGUCAUGCCCAUGCAGGUGCCACGGGUGCGUCUCGCACUUGUUGGCCGCCAGCAUGUUGGCGUUCUGCAGCACCACGUCGACGACGGAGCCGAACUGCAGCCGGUAUAGCCCGUCGCUGAUCGUCGCGUUCGGGUUCGGCGGCGGAGCGUACACGUCGUACCCCUGGUGCGUGUAAUUCUCCGGCGGCGGCCGCUGGUCGAAGGCGCCGAGGAGGCCGUUCUUCAUGGCCACCAGGUACGGCGUGUGCGGCAGCCUGAAGGAUACGCCGUUGAGCGCCCAUUUGAUGUGCCCGUCGAUCUUGUUCUGCGUGUUGAGCAGGAGGAUGGUGCGGUCGGCGCGCGGCGGCGGAGGCUCGACGUGCGCCGGGUGCGCCACCGUCGCCACGCUCUGCUGGAACCGGUACAUGGUGUCGUUCCAGGCCGGGCCCGUGGGCGGGGUUGUCGACGGCGGUGCGCGGUCACCGCUGUAGCUCAGAAUGGCGGUGCCGGUGGGUGUGGCAGGCUCGCGGCUGACGACGUUGGAGGCGAGCCAGUAGUUGCGGUUGGGGUCCUGGUCGGCUUUGAUGAGCACGGAGUAGGUCUCGCCGGAGUAGAUGUUGAGGUUCUUCACCACGAACGGCUUCACGUAAUGGCCGUCGGCCUCCACUACCGUCAUUUCGUGGCCCUGAACGAAAGCAUGAUGCAAGCCGUGGAUCAAUUACCUGAUGUUCAGGUUAAAAAAAAAAUUGGCAUAGAUGGAUGCGCGGUCAAUUAACUAUUUGACGAAGAUCAAAAUUCAAAAUUUACAUUUCAAUUUGCUCCGUUCAAGUCUUGUCAAAAGAUUUGCUCCGUUCAAGAGUGAAAGCGAUGUUUAUUGAGCCGAUCUUUAAACACUAAAGUCAGAUUUGGGCCAAUUGAAGGCAUAAAACAAAUGAAUCUAGCGUGGUAUUUUUUUUUCCCUGAAACUUAUGGUUUCCGUUUCAAAAAUAAUAAUAAUUUGAUUAAUAGUUGGUGAAAUUGUUUACUUUUUAUACCCGUAAUAUGAAUAUUGAAUACUACUACUACUGCACAUAUCCUAAGAUACUGUUGUUGCCUUUUGUUGCUUCAGAAUCUGCAGUUUUCAUAUUUCUGAAGAGUAAGGACUAUGGAAAUUUCAUUGCUUUGACGUUCUGGACCAUAUGGAAAACAUGAGCUUCAGUUGGUAAUUUCCACGCAAAUGAAGCUGCGAGCGAGUACUAUAUUCACAACAACUCCGGGAAAGAGCCAGUGAGUCAACAACCUUGUAUUGUUGGUUGUCCAACACCUCCAUUUCGGUACAGUUUCGUGGUGGUUGAUGCUUGUACAAAUUUAGCAGUAUUUUGUACUCCGAGAUGCGAGGGUUAGUGAGGAAAAGAUCAAAAGACCAGAAUACAAAAAAGGAUUUUAAAAGAACGCUGUGCUGACUGUCACUUCAAUCUUUUGUUAGUUGUUAUACUAACCGAUGGAUGGCGACCUCGAGUGUGCUCCAUGGGCACCAGAUUGGUUCCAAAGGUGAAGGAUAGGUACAGAGAUACUCACUCCAUUCCAAAUUACAAGAAGUUUAGAUAUACAUUUGUCUAGAUAUAUAAUACUCCUUCCUUCCUCUAUUAUAAGUUAUUCUAAUUUUCUUAAAUAGUUAAAUUAUCUUAAGUUUGACCAAAAUUAUAGAAAAAUUAUAAAAAUUUAUGACAUCAAAUAAUUACACUAAAAAUAUAAUUAAUAUAGAUUCUAAUGAUACUUAUUUGAUAUCAUAAAUCUUAUUAUUUUGUUAUAUAAUUUCGAUCGCACUUGAGAUGUUUUGAUUUUUCAAAAAAGUUAGAAUGACUUAUAAUUUGAGACGGAGGGAGUAAGAAAAUAAUAUAUUUAGAAAAGCUAAAACAUUUUAUAGUUUGGGACGGAAAAAGUAGUAUUAUGUUGCCUAAUUCCAAUUAUGUUCUUCUGCUGGACUUUUUUUAGAUUUGACCACAUAACAAAGAAUCAGAUUUAUGUUACUAGAUCUAUAAAUAAAUAAUUGUUUUAAAACAUAAAUAUUUCAAUGUAAAUAUCAUAUGUUCGAUAUGCAAUGCUUAACAAAAUUUCAUAUCGUAGACCAUGUAACUAUGACGACCCUAGCUAAUAGUUAUUUCUGCGGAAGGAGAGAUUAGCCAAUAAUUGCUGUUUUCAUUUAUAAUAACAAAAUUAUUAAACUACCGGUUCAUAUAUAUCUCGUGAUCUGGUUCUUCACCAGGGCCGGUAGCUAGGGAGGACCUCUCUACGUCGACCUUUUGGUGAGUCCCCCACUACCGGUUCAUAUUACGUAAUUGUUGAAUCUAAUAAAUAGUUUGGUAUUCAUACGUGCAACUAUUAAUAAUUAGUUGUACUUGCUACAGGUUAUUCUUGUCAAAACAUAAUGUCUUUAGUAUAGCAUACAUAUGUUGUUUAGGAUUAAAGUUGUUGCACUUAUGACUUGACAGUAUAUAUUUUGUAUGGUAUACAGUUUUUGGUGUUAUUCGUAUGAGGCACCGCUUGCUCAAUACGUGAUGUUUCAUCACUGUUAUAGCUUCCUCAGGGCAAUGCCGCGAAAAUGCUAGUAUUCUGAAAUAUGAAAUCUGAAGAAACAAAUCAACGGGAAAAUAAACGAAAAGGUUGCGCGAAAUGAGAGCAAAUGCGCGCGCGUGUACCUCGAUUUCAAAGUUGAGAGCGGACAAGGACGUGACGCUGGCGAUGCGAAACCGGUAGGUCUUGCCUGGCACGACGGCGAACACCGGCGCGGCGCACUCCGGGCUGGUGGCGUUGCAGGUCCCCGGCACCGCCGCCGCCGAGCAGUCGAACCUCCCGCGGCCGUUGAUGAGCAGCGAGUGCGGCUCCCCGACCCAGACCAUUGGCACGGACGCGAGCCCGACGGCCUGCUCGUGGGUGCUGCUGUGCCACCAGUCGUUGAGCAGCACGUCGUGCUCGUCGUCGUAGGCGAACGGCUCCGCGCCGUCGACCUCGCCGCCGGGGUCCUCGGCGACCGCGACGACGAUGACGCCGUACAGCCCCGCGGAGCGCUGCAUCCCGUAGUGCGCGUGGUACAUGUAGGUGCCCGGGCGGUCGACGACGAAGGCGUAGGUGAAGGUGUCGCCGGGGAGGAUCGGGCACUGGGUGACGCCCUCGGUGCCGUCGGCCCACGGCGUGCCGAUCUGCCGGAUGCCGUGCCAGUGGAUGGCCAGGUUCUCGGUGAG